rnacentral:lncRNA from 1 species
UUUUAUAACUAUAUUUCCAAUCAUUUUGCCACUUCAAUUAAAACCUUACAGAGUGAUGGCGGGGGUGAGUAUCUUAGUAAACCUUUUCAAACAUUUCUGUUGGAUAAAAGAGUCAACCAUCAAUUGUCCUGCCCCUAUACUCCUGAGCAGAACGGUUUAGCAGAGAGAAAACAUAAGCAUAUCAUUGAAACAGCUAUCACCUUGUUACAAACCGCUGCCUUACCUCUAAUUUUUUUGGUCCUUUGCAUGCCAAACUGUUGUGUACCUUAUUAAUAGAAUGCCAUCCUCUACUCUACAUCACCAAUCUCCUUUUGAACUCUUGUUUAAAGCUAUUCCAGAUAUUAAUCAUCUCAGGAUUUUUGGUUGUUCAGUUUUUCCACUCUUAAAACCCUACAACAACACCAAGUUACAACCCAAAACUACCAAAUGCCUUUUCUUAGGUUAUGCUUCGAAGUAUAAGGGGUUUAUUUGUUAUGAUAUUCUUCAUAACAAAUAUUACAUUUCAAGACAUGUAUUGUUUGAUGAGUCCGAGUUUCCAUAUUCCCAUUUAUCUUUAAACCAUCAUGUCUACACCCAUUCUACCUCACAACCUGUCUUUCUUUCCUUAUCUCCUUCUAUAUCCAUUAAUAGGGAGAAUAAUUUGGUUACCAUCCCCUUAUCUAGGACCACUCAUCUGUCUGAUACUAUGUCCUCCAGCUCUAAUCCUCUUAAUGGUUCCCACAGUCAUUCCUUUCAAUCCAUUACUCCAUCAACUGCUCAACAAUCCCCUGUGGCUCCUGAGAUACCAGCUGGGACAUCUUCAGAGACAUGUAGUGAGUCCACUUCUGAGAUCCCUUGUGAGCAUGGUAUUGAGAUUUCGCAUGAGUUCCAACCUGAUAAUCUGCAAGUUCUUCUUCCUAUUCCUCCUAUGAAUACUCACUCUAUGCAAACAAGAGCUAAGAGUGGUAUUUCAAAGAAGAAAGCUUAUAUUUCCAUUGUUCAAGAUACUUCACCAGUGGAUUUGUCUCAAACUGAACCGGCUACAUAUAAGUCCGCUCUCAAGUCCCCUUUGUGGUUGUCUGCUAUGGAAGAAGAGUUGCAAGUUCUUCAAGUUCAAAAUACUUGGUCUUUGGUUCCUUUGCCUACAAACAAGAACUUAAUAGGCUGCAAGUGGGUGUUUAAACUCAAGAAACAUGCUGAUGGGUCUAUUUCCAGGUAUAAGGCAUGACUUGUUGCCAAAGGAUUCAAUCAAGAAGAGGGCAUUGACUAUGGGGAAACUUUUAGCCCUGUUGUCAAACCUACCACAGUGCUGUUGGUCCUAGCUUUGGCAACACACUUUGGUUGGUCUCUACGUCAACUUGAUGUGAAGAAUGCAUUUCUUCAUGGCAUUCUUCAAGAGGAAGUUUAUAUGUCACAGCCACCUGGUUUUAGUGAUUCUCAUAACCCCACACAUGUUUGUCGAUUACAUAAGUCCUUAUAUGGCUUGAAACAAGCUCCCCGUGCAUGGAAUGAGCGAUUUACAUCAUUUCUUCCUUCUCUGGGAUUUCGGUCGACAUAUGCCGAUCCUUCCCUCUUUGUUAGGCAUGAUGGCAAGUCUGUGGUUAUUCUUCUCCUGUAUGUCGAUGACAUUAUACUCACUGGCAGUGCUUCCGAGGCUAUUACUGCAGUCAUUACAGCUUUAACCAAGGAGUUUGAUAUUAAAGAUUUAGGCCCUCUUCAUUAUUUUCUUGGGCUUCAGAUUACUACAAAUUCCAGUGGCUUGUUUCUAUCUCAAUCUAAAUAUGUUUCAGACUUGUUGGUCAAGGCAGAUAUGGCUCAUUCAAAACCUUGCUCUACCCCUUGUUUACCAUAUAAUCGGUUACUCAAGGAUGAUGGUCACCCUUUCAAUAAUCAUUCUUUAUACUGGAGUAUUGUCGGGGCUCUUCAGUACCUUACCUUCACUCGUCCUGAUAUAGCAUUCUCAGUACAUCAGGUGUGCCAAUUCAUGCACUGUCCUAUGGAUUCUCAUUAUGCUGUUGUGAAACGUAUUCUUCGAUAUUUGAAAGGUACUUCAGAUCUUGGCAUUCAACUCACACAAGGGGAAUUAGAUCUACAUGCAUUCAGUGACGCUGACUGGGUUGGAGAUCCCAACGACAGACGGUCCACCACUGGUUUUGUCGUGUAUUUAAGACCUAAUCCUAUUUCUUGGUCCUCGAAGAAACAACAUACAGUGUCUCGGUCCUCUACAGAGGCCGAACAUAGAGCUCUCUCCAGUACUUCUGCUGAAAUUGAUUGGAUUACACAGCUUCUUCAAUUUAUGCAGAUUGCAGUUCCAUGUCCUACCACAUUGUUAUGUGAUAAUAUGUUUGCCAUAGCCCUUGCCUAUAAUCCAGUGAUGCAUCAGCGGACGAAACAUAUUGAGAUUGAUGUCCAUUUGUACGUGAGAGGGUUGCUAUACAGCUUCUGCAAGUGCAUUUUGUUUCUUCGAAUGAACAGUUUGCUGAUGUUCUAACAAAAGGAUUGUCUACUCCCUUGUUUAACACCCACUGUUACAAUCUCAGACUUGGCAAGUCUCACCCUGAGAUUGAGGGAGGAUGAUAGAUAUUAUAGGUGUAUGAGGUGGUUAAGUUUGUUUACAUUCUGUGAGUAGAGAUUAUGACAAGUGUCAAGAUCUUGUGAGUCUUGUAAUAGCUUAGUACCUAAGCAAUGUAAUGGGAUAUAUACAACAUAUAACUGUAAAGGUGGUGUUAACAAAUAUUCAUUCAAUAUACAAAAGAUAUACUUCUCUCUCUACUGUUCCUUCUUUCUCUUUACAAAUCAAUCGGCAUUUACAGGUCUCACAGUUUAUCAAAUUCGAUUUGUAUUUUCUUUCAUCUUUAGUUCUUGAUUCCUUGAAUUUUAUAUUUUCUGAGAUCAGUUCCAGUUGGAGCGAGUUCAAAUGCUGGAGAGAAGCAUUUGUGGAUGACUCUUGAAUUAAUGACUGCAUCAAUAUAUCGGUUCAAUUACAAAGGAGACAUUUUGCAGGUGAAUGUGCUUAUUUUCAACUGGGUUUAUGAACAUUUUAAUGAGAGACUGAGAAUCUUGCUGGAUGAGGAACAUGCACUCCCUCUUUUACAUCUGAAAACCCACAAACCCCUAAAAUCGCUAACCUUCAAGAACGAUUUGGUAAGCAUUCUCCUAUCUUUACAUUUAAAAGUUGCUGAAUUAAUAUUGAAAUAUAUUAUAUGGAUGUGAUUUUGAAAGUCGAAUACAUUUUUUUGUGGAAAAUAUACAUGAUACUGUAUUAGAUAAACUUCUGUAUUCCUUUGCGUACAAGUUUUGCUUGCAUUAUGGGUGUGUUUGAGUUUCCUUAUAUUAAUGGUGAACAUUCAAUGUAAUUCAUUGUUUGCAUGAUCAUCCUUAUCUCAAAAUAAGGAUAAAUAUGUCCCGCGCUUGAUUAGUAAAAGUGUUUUCACCAAGUCCUAGUUUAACGUUAAUACCAUUAUUGUUUACUCAUUCAUGAAACAUAUGUAAAGUAAUGUUUAGGGGUGCAUAUAGCGCCGGUGAUAAAAUUUUAUUCAGUUUGGAAAUAACAAGAUUCUCAGUUUCUAAUCCAUGAAAAUGGAAACUAUGGUGAGAAAUUUAGAAUUGAUCGAUAUAGAGUUCCGUUACAAACCUAAAUGAAUAUUGACUGUUAGGAGACACGAAUAAUCACACUCUUUACAUAAAAUGUCAACAUAUGAGUACAUGUUCUCUUCUUGAUGCAAUGCAUAUACAUGGGUGGAUUGGCCCGUGUAGAUAUUUCUCACAAAGAAGGAAUUCAUGAAUUAGAGAUGGGAUCAACAUGGGUCGAGAAGAGUGGUCACACAAAUGGUCAAAUUAUUUAGAAGACUUUAAUGAUGUGUUUGCAUGAGCUAAUUUAAAUUUCUAAAAACUUAGGCUAUAUGUAUUAAGACUGCACCACCAAGUGAAUAAAAUGUAAAAGUAUUGUAUUCACAUACUCUUUAACUUAGGCUAUCUGUACUCAAAUCACCCUUUAAUUCUUUUGAACAAUUUUUCGUACAUGUGUCAAAAUUAUAGAAAAGGUUUGAGUUUUUUGAUGAUGGAAUUCCAAGACUGCCAUGUUAUGGACUUCCAAGAGAUUAAAAGUAUAUAAGUAAAAAAAAAAAAAAAGGCAUUUCAGAGAUGAAGCAUCAGGCCUCGGCAUCGCAAUAUUCUAAGGGGUGGGUUUCUACCGCAGUUUUAUUUUAAUUUUGUUUUGGUUUUGGAUUGCUUUGCGAUAUUUGCGGUUUCCGAUUGACUCUCUUGGAUUGAUUUUUGUGACUUUUACAGUUUUACUUUUAUUUUCAGAGCCUCUGUUUGGACAAAGAGAUGAAAAUUUGAAUAAGAAGAAGACGGCAAGGAAUUUCUAAGUAAUUUUUUCAUUUCUCUUUUAUUUUUCUGAAUAGAUUAUUUUUCAGUCUAUGAUUGGAUGCAAGUGUUCCCAAGAAAAUACUGAAAAUUUUAGUCACUUUCUUAAAUUUAUGUCCAUUUUAUAUACUGAUCUAUUUGUAAAAGUUAAUUUGAUAACAAUGUAAAGUAGUGUAUUUAUAUGUGAAUUUGUCUUGCUAUCAUUGUAAGGAGGAGCGGAAAUAUAAUUUGUUAUUUGAAGGCUCACAAAUGUUCAACAUAAAUAUCAAAUUUGUUAUUUGAUUUGCGCAGAAAUUAUUAUCUUAAUGACGGCUUACAAAUGAAUACCAAAUGCUCUAUAUGACUAAUAGUUAGGUUAAGAUGGUGCAUAUUACAGGAUUAAUUAUUGAUAGUAAAUUUUACAUGUAUAAAGAUCAAAAUUUUCACAUUAUUGAUCCAAAAAAAGCCAACAUAAUGUAUAAGGUGGUGUUGUGGAGUUGUACAUAUAAAGAUCAUGUUCCACUCUGUAGUGGCAUUUGUGAUGUACGAGAUUGAUUUGAAAGAUUAUGUUUCGCUUCAUUCUAUUUAUGUGCUUCUCUCUUUUUAGGUUUGGAGGAUUAAACAAUCUCAGUUCAAAGACAUAAUUUUGACCUCUACAUUUAUCCCAUUGAAAUACAAAUUUGGGAGGAUCAAGAAAAGAAUAGAGACUGGAUAGUUAGGUCAUUUUAUCUUAUUUAUUUGUCAAUUUUAAACUCAAUAACAUUUGAAUGAUUUAAGUCUUUUUGAUCAAGGUGGAAUUCAACUAUUUUUUGUGGUAGCUGACUGUGAUCAUACUUAUCUUCUGUGUAGGUUAUUAGAAAACGCCCGAAUGAGUGUUAGUAUUUCAAAGUUUUCUCUAAACAAUUUUAUUCUGUGAUCAUACUUAUCUUCAACAAUUUUAUUCGAUCUCUAAAUGGUUAAAAAAAAGCAUAGCACAUGUGUUUUUUUCAACAGAAUGCAAAUUCAUUGGAAAAAUGAGUGUUAGUAUUUCAAAGUUUUCUCUAAACUUUUCAUUCAACUUGGAGAAAUACUAUUCCAGGGUUGUGCUUACUACUUCUAAUCAAAAGAAGAAGGAAAAAAAACACACUUGAAGGUAUCUAUUAAAAAGGUAGUAGGAAACAUGGGUGUUGGCCUCUCACAAAUUCAUUGGAAAAAUGAGUGUUAGUAUUUCAAAGUUUAAAAUUUUGGAUGGGCAAAUAAGAAAACAACUAAAGCAAUACAUUCUUAGAGGCACUAGCCCCCAUGAUGAAAAAAUGUCUUUUGCUGUGCAUGAAUAACAUUUAAAUCAUUACUUUACGCAACGUAAAAAUGAAAAACGUGAUAACUUUUAGAACUUGCAUGGUAAAAAAAAAAAAUUCCUCUUUGCACAAUACAUUUAAAGUAUAUCUUGACAAUUAUAAUGAAAAAAACCUAACACAACACAUCUUUAGGGGUACGUAGCGUCCGUGAUGCAAAAAUGUCUCUUGCACGCACGUUAGUGCGUGCGGAGAGGCUAGUAUAUAUAUAUAGCCGAUACUAAACUGAAUGUUUACAAGAGGUAAAGUUAAUAUCAAUGUUGUUAUGUCAGGAAAAAAAGAAUAUAUAUACAUAUAGAUAUAUAUAUAUAGAUAUAUAUAUAUAUAUAUAUAUUCUUUCCACACUAGCUAUAUAUAUAUAUAGCUGAUACUAAACUGAAUGUUUACAAGAGGUAAAGUUAAUAUCAAUGUUGUUAUGUCAGGAAAAAAAGAAUAUAUAUAUUCUUUCCACACUAGCUAAUAAAUAAAUAAAUAUAUAUAUAUAUAUAUAUAUAUAUAUAUAUAUAUAUAUAUAGCUGAUACUAAACUGAAUGUUUACAAGAGGUAAAGUUAAUAUCAAUGUUGUUAUGUCAGGAAAAAAAGAAAAAUAAAAAAGAAACAUAAAAAAUAUGCAGGCACAAUAUGCCUGACAAGUAACAAUCUUUUAGAGAGAAAACUUACGAUUAGGAAUUUAGGAUGCAUGGCUACAAAUGAGUCACUUUACAAAUGAAGUUUCCGUUGUCUUUACUAUUUUCUGGCUCUUUUUAUUUAUGACUCUAGUUUGACCGUUGACCAACAUAAGGAAAUAUAAGAAACAUGCAUGCAUGCACAAUAGACUUAAUGCUUCAAUUGUUUUUUUUUUUAGUCGAAUUUUUUUAAAGUCGAUUAAUGCUUCAAUUGUUGGUUUUAAUAGUCUUGUGCAUGUACGGAUGCAAUAGUUUAUUACCUUCUCGCUAGUUGAAUAUUACUGUUGACUUGUGAUGAUCAGUACUUCGUACGUGGCAAACAAUAUAGGCUGUACGCCACAAGUUUGGCGUCAAAAUUGGACUGGAAAAUUUCUCUAUAUAAAGCCCUACAACUCCAGGUUCAUAAUAUACCUGCAUUCCUCCUGAUCAACAGCCUUCCUCUCAGAUUCUUAAAACCUCUACUUACUAUCUCAGUUUUACUUCCUAAGUAUUAAGUCUUGUGCAUCACCUUGAUAUCUUCCAACACCAUUUAUGGCAAAGUCAUCCCUUCACUCUACCACUAAUGGAAGCCUCAUCACUGUUCUUAGCAUUGAUGGAGGUGGAAUAAGAGGGAUUAUUCCUGGAACUAUACUCAGUUUUCUGGAGUCUGAGCUUCAGGUAAAAUGAUCAAUGCAUGAGAAUUUCACAUAUGACUGUUAAGCUAAUUAUCUUAAUAUCUAGAUGUUUGUUCAUAAAACUGAGGUUCCACCCUUCGGUAAGAAUGGGGUCGCUCAACUCUUUAUAAGCUCUUGCAAGGUUUGACAAACUUCCGAAUUGAGACAUUUAUUCACGGAUUUGAUUACAAUACUUACAUUUAUUUAAUACAAUCACCAUCUCAAUGGUCAGAUAAUGGUUGUAUUAAAUACAUAUAUUCACAUGAAUUAUAUCUGACUGUCAGAUGGUGAUAUAGUAUGAAAUACAUAUAAGUAUUGUAGCCAAUCCAUUUGUUCACAUCCUCACAUGUCUCCUCACAUAUGGAUAAUUUUUUAGUCUAACAUGUAGAUGUGGCCAUUGAGAUUUACUUGUGGGUAAACUGGUUUUGAUCAACGAAGAAAGUUGAGGUUCUAUAAAUUAAUUGAUAAUAUGGAAGUGGCUCUAACUCCAUAUCAGCCUUUGCAAGUUUUGGUAUAUAUACUUCUGAUGUGAGAUAUUUCUUGCAAGCAUUGAUGUGAUAUCAAAACUCAUUUAUUUUUUUUUACCAAAAAAACUUAUUUAAUUCUAAGUUAAGGUUGUAGGUUAAAAAUAAUGGUUUUGUAGCCUCAUUCAAACCCACAAUUUAAUGUCGAUCACAUCUAGCUAGCAUGUCUGCUUCCAGUUUAAUAUAGCCUCUCAAAGUGUUAAUUGAAAAAAAAAUUGUGUUAUUGCUAGAGGAAGUUUUGUUUAUGAUCCUAACACCAUGUUAUGGUGUUUCUGAUACGAUUCACCCAAAUCAUAACAUGUGAUGUGCGGCGACUUUAUAACUUCGGAGUGUACAUAGUAUCAAGAAUUAUACAUGUGUUUUAAUUCUGGUAGAUUUAUAUAAGGGGUUUUUGAACAUUAGUCCUUGCAAACGAUUAAAAUUUAAAAAAAACCUGAUGCUAGAUUAAAUAUUCAAUUUAAUCCCUCGAGUGUACUUUUAUCAAAAUUUACAUUCAAUUUUUCUUAUUUAAUGUGUAUUUUUAUUUAAUCUCUCCAUAUUAAAUUUUAAUUUUAUUAAUAUGCACAUAUUUAAUUUUUUUUAAUUAGAAAUGAACGUAAAUGAGAAAAUAUUAAAAAAAAAUUGUGAUACAAAAAUAUAUAGAUACAUAAGUGUACAGAAAUGAUUGUGCCAAAAUAUAUAAAAUUGACUUUUUUGUACCAAAAUAUUUGUACCUAUAUGAUUGUACCGAAAUAGAUUAUAAUGAACCUAAAUGUAUGUACUGAAAUGUAUUAUAUUGAAUUAAUGUACCUAAAUGUCAAUACCGAAAUAAAUGUACCAAAAUGUGAGAACCUAAAUGUCAAUACCGAAAAUGUAUGUACCUAAAUAUCAAUACCAAAAUGUAUGUACCUAAAUGUAUUUACCGAAAUAAUAAUUGAAUUAAUGUACCUAAAAGUCAAUACUCAAAUGUAUGUAUCAAAGUGUACGUAACGAAAUGCAUUAUAUUGAAUCAAUGUAACUACAUGUUUGUACCGAUAGAUAUACCAAAAUAUUCAAAUGUAUUAAUGUACCUAAAUGAAGAACAUACAAAAUUGUUAUUGGAAUAUAUAUUAUAAAAAAUUUAGUUACCUAAAUGUAGACAUUAAAAUAUAUUAUGAUGAAUGAAAUAAAAAUUAAAUUUAAAUGUAAUUAAUACAUUAAAAUAAAAAUAAAAAGAUAAAAUAAAACAUCAAAAUACAACUAAUAAAUGAUAUGAUUAAAUGUGCUAGGGACUAAAAUUGGAUUUUAAUCUUACACAUGGUUAUAAUCUAAAACUCAUCUUUUUUAGGGAUUAAAAUGAAGUUUUCUAUUUAUAUAAUAACACCAAGUCAUGGCGGCUAUAUGCAGAAACUGGAUGGUAAGGAUGCAAGGCUCGCAGAUUAUUUUGAUGUGAUUACAGGGACGAGCACAGGUGGCCUUGUGACUGCCAUGCUUACCACCCCAGAUGAAAAUAAGCGUCCCUUGUAUGCUGCUAAAGAUAUUACCGCUUUUUAUCUUGAAAACUGCCCUAAAAUUUUCCCUCAGGACAGGUAUUAUCAGAUAUAUUAUUAGCCGUUAAAUUUGUUCAAUAAUGGUAUAUGGUGACUAUUACUGAAAAAUAACCUAGCUAUUGUCCCUUUAACAACAGUUCUAUUGUUGCCAACUUGAAAGUUUUGGGAAAACCAAAAUAUGAUGGGAAGUAUUUACAUUCCCUAUUAAAGGAAAAGUUGGGAGACAAGCACUUGCGCCACACCUUGACUAACGUUGUAAUCCCAACUUUUGAUAUAAAGCGGCUGCAACCAGUUAUCUUCUCCAGCUAUCAGGUUUGUUUAUCUCUUAAUUGGAACAUUAUAUAUACAUAUAUAUGGGACAAUAUUUUUUUACCGAGCGUAUGCUAUUUUGUACCCUCAAAAAUCAAACUGAUCAAUAAUUCAGCCAAAAUUUCAUGUUUAUGUUCUUAUAUUAAGAAUGUUGGGGUCCCACCAUAAUGUUGAACCUCCAACUGAUACGGAGGCUUUUUGUGAUAAAAUCCCACUGUUGUAGUUCUGUGCAGGUGGUAAUUACUAAGUUGGGGAUAAUAUCGGUGUUGUUGGAAGUGAGACUUUGGCCCGUCUCUCUGAUAAUUCUACACAUAAACCCAAUUCGCAAUAUAAGGAGUAGCCCAAUUACUUAUAAGCACAUGCAAUGUCCCUCAUUUGUCUGAUGUGGGAGUUAUACUCUCAACAAUAUAUUCUGAUCUGCUUUUUGCAGUGGUUCUUGAUUUUGUGUAUGUAUUUCUAUCAUGAUUUUAGUUGAAAAAGAACAAUAGCCUAGAUGCUUUGCUAUCGGAUAUAUGUAUCGGAACUUCAGCAGCCCCGUACUACCUUCCAGCAUAUCAAUUUAAAUCGACUAAUUCAUCUGGUGAAACAAGAGAAUUCAAUCUCACUGAUGGUGGUGUGGCUGCUAAUAACCCGGUAUUGAUUUGAAAAGUUAAUUUUCACUAUGAAUACAUGUACUAUAUUUUUGCGUUCGUUAAUUUGAGUGUCUUAGUUUUUUUUUUGUUCAUAUGUUUUAGGCUUUGGUUGCUAUGAGCGAAGUGACAAAACAAAUCCAGGGCAACCCUGACUUUGUUCCUUUGGGCGCAAAUGACAAGUUGUAUGAGCGGUUCCUAGUUAUAUCACUGGGUACCGGUACAACAUCUGAGGAGAAGUACGAUGCCAAAGAAGCAUCUGAGUGGGGUGCUUUGGGAUGGUUGAUUGGAUCUGAUUUUUCAGCUCCUCUGGUAGAUAUAUUCAGUCAAGCAAGUAGUGACAUGGUUGAUUUCCACCUUGCUACCGUUUUCCAAGCACUUGGGUCUCCCGACAAUUAUCUUCGAAUUCAGGUACAUAUAUAUAUAUAUGUGUGUGUGCGCGCGCGCGCACACGAGCACAAUCUUUUUACGAACCAUUAACAUUUUGGUUUAAUAAAGUGAAGAGAAAUAUUAUUAGAUCAAAUGAUCAUUUUCGCAUGGCGAAUUAACCUAGCUAAUAAGAUAUGUAGAAAUAUUAAUGCGUGAAAGUGAAAAAUGAAUGCAUGCAGGAUGACACACUGAGUGGAACUCUGGCUUCUGUGGAUAUUGCUACUUCAGAAAACUUGAAUGAUCUCGUAAAAGUUGGGGAGAAAUUGUUAACGAAACCAGUUUCAAGAGUGGACUUAGAUACUGGAAAAGCAAAGCCUGUUCAUCCUGAAAUUACAAAUCAAGAGGCACUCAUAAGGUAUUUCAAUAUUGCAUACAUACAUCACCAAAUCUACAAUUAAUAUAAGUUUGUAGCACUUUAUGUGUAUAAAUUUCACUGACUAUUUCAUGUUUCAAAAAUUGAUUUCCAUGUGCAGGGUAGCCGGGGUUCUGUCAAGGGAGAGGGGUAAAAGGAGCAAAGUUCAUAAACUGAAAUCAUCAUUGUAAGAAUGACAAAGAUAAGGAUCCAAGUGAAGAAUAAAUCGAAGGCCUAAAUGUUGCCACUUGUCGAUCGAUAAGACAGGUUGUUAUAGGUAGUUAUAAGGUUGUUACAAUCUUAUCCAAGUGGUUAGCUUUUCAUUACAAAAUUAGUAAGUCUGUUAAGUCUGUUUACUACAUAUAUCACUACUGUAAAAGAUUACUUGAUCAUUAAGAAAUAAAGAAAUAACAAGCUUUCUCUCUCACAUUCUCGAGCUCUCUUUCUCUCUGUUCUUCCUGAAAUUUCCUCUUCAUUUUCUUCAAUCUUUCUUCAAUCUUCCCAAUCAUCACCAAAUGGAAAGGACGCAGCAUCCAACUGAUCUUACAUAUAUUCAAUGACAAAAUACAACACUGACCGUAUAUACACUUCAAUACAUAUACGACUAUACACUAUUGAAUUUCGUUCAGUUAUUUAUUUGUUUAUGUAAAAUUAAAAAGCUAUCAUAAAGCCAUGAGGAAAUGGUAGCUAAACAAUUAUUUAAGUGUCUUGUAAUUCAGUACUGAAAUUAUUUUCUCUCAAUAAAUACCAAUUAGCAUGUUGGUUCUGAUAUGAGCUUUGUUCGCUUCAUUUUUUUUAUUCAUGUGAUGGUCGAGUUAGAGCACACCGAUAGCUCUAGCGAACCUAACUAAGUCAAAGCUCAUUUAUUCUUUAUGCACGAGUAUAUAGUAGUAGAAAAAACAGCUUACGUGACGAAAUGUUAUGCGAUGACGACAAUUUCGUUGCUUAAUGAGUCUUUUGUGUGACGAAACUAGGAAUCCAUAGUGGAAAUGGUUAAUUAAAACUUAGUGCGACGAAGUAAUUCGUCGCGCAACGCACAAAGCCUUGCGUCUCACAAAGGGGAAGGAAAAAGGCGGUUGAGAGGUUUUUUGGGCGCCAACAACUUGCGUGACAAAAUAUUUGUCGCGUAAAAGGACCACUGAAUGGUCGGUGCACAUUGAAUUGUCGUAUUUAUUACGUACUUUACAGAAUGGAUUGAUCGUCGCGCAAGGUUUGGGGGACCAAAGUUUCGUCGCGCAAAAUCCGGCGGGUUCUUUAUAAUCAUAGUUUCACUUUCACUUUUUCUCACAUUGUUUUCCCACAACCCUAAAUUUCCUCCCGUUUUCUUCAUCCCAAACCCCUCUUGUUUUAAUUUUAGUGAGAUGAUCGAUUCUGAUGCUCCUACAACUAAGCGAUGCGAGGGAGAAGGAUAUGAGAAAGGUAAAAACUUAGCUUAUGUGAUUCUAAUAUUUAUAUUUUGGAAAAACAAUUUUGGAUGUAUCACUUACUUUGAUUUUGAAAUAUAUGUUUUGUAUCCGCAGAUGAAAUAUAUGUUUUGUAUCCGCAGAUAAAAAAACCAGGAGAGUUUCUGUCACAGCCCGUCCCAGAAUUUUAAUUCCGAGGACGUGAAAUGACCAAUGUGACCUUAAACGGGAUUAAGGUGUGUAAAUGUUUGACAUUUGUUUUACCUAAAGAUCCUAAACUAUUGUUAUUUAGAAUAUUAUUUUAUGUUAGGGACUUAAACUAGGGUUUAGAUUUACAUUUGUUUGGUCUAAUAAUUUUGUAUUGGACUUAGGUGGGAUCCCCACCUCCUGAAAUCCUUCCCCAAAACCCGUAGGUUGUCUCUCUCCCUCUUUCUUCCUCAUCUCUCCCUCAGAAACACUCUCUCUCUUACUCUCGAACUCUCUCAAGCUCUCGGACAAACACCAAGAACAACCACAAACGUGCACCAACGUCCAAUCUAAGAUCAUCUUCGUGAUCUUGGGAACUUCACGAGCACGGGGGUAUAAGUUUCAGGUAAGUUUCAUUUCUGAAAUCCUAGUUUCAAAACACCCCGUGAAUUGACACUGUUCACGAACUUAAAUUUCGUUGUGUUUUAGGCUAAUCUGAGAUCACCACGAGUCUUAGAAAGUUCCAAGGAGGCUCGGAGUGCCUCGUUUGAACAAAAUGGACGUCGAGAUCGUCGGGUUCGAGUUUGGCCGAAAUUGAGGAAUUUUGGAAGGUAUGAUCUCGUAGUUUUUAGACCUUAAAACCCUUCCAUCGUGAUUGUACAUGUGAAAUGCUUCAUUUUGGUGUAAAAUACAUGAAAAAUGGACGAAAAACGAAGGAGAAAAGUGGAUUUGAAAUUUUUCCAGAAACCGGCGAACAGUCGCCGGCGGCCGGUGACUCGCCGGAGAAGACAGGGAAUAUUCCGUCAAAACUGACGGAAUAUUCCAACGCCGUUACCGUUACCGUUGGGUAUUUAACGGAAUAUUCCGAGAAUAUUCCCUAACGCCGUUCACUGUACCGUCAGUGUGCACGGCACGUGGCUGCGCGUGGGGGGCGCGUAGACCCGUGCCCUAUUUGGCGCGUGGAGGCGCGUGGAGCAUUCAAAAUUUUUUUUAAAAAUAUGGGGAUGAUCCUGAGGUUGUGUAGGUCAUGGUGGUAUAUUUAUAUACCCAAUUUGAGCAACAUAUGGAAUUUAUUACCUAGUUGGUUUAGGUGCGUUAAAUGUGCGUUAAAUGAUUGUUUUAAGUUAUUUCACUUCUAGGUGGAACUUUUAACGAGGACGAGCACAUCCAGGGGCGUCAAGGGGGUUACGACCCGGCGACAUACCAGUGAGUGGGCAUUGCUUUCUAUAUAUAUAUACCUAUAUACUCGAUUUCCCCAGAAAUCAAAUUUAAAUGAAAAAUAUACUGAAAUGAAAUGAAAUAUGAUGUGAUUGCCAUGCAUAGAAUGUUAUGGAUAUUAUGAACUGUCGUAUGAUGCAUAUAUGUGUGAUGGUGCUGUGGACGCACAGGUAAGUAUUUAAUUACUGUUAUGUUGAGGAUGAUGAUAUAUUGAGCUCAUAUCCUGCACCAUGGUUUAGUGCUUAUAGUAUUCACCGCAUCGCACGCUCGCCUUGGAUCCAAGUAGAUGCUGGUCGUACAGUCCACGCGGAGUGGGUACGACGGGCCAGUCGUAGAGUGUUAGUGAGAUUAUGACUGGUGGGUGACCUUAGGUUAUUGUAUACAGAUGAUUGAUGAGAGAAGCACUAGAGCGAAUAUUACCAUGAGUCGUUCAGACUGCAUUAGGUGGUUCCGACUUAUGUGCAGAAGGCCGGACAGGUCACGCGGAGUGACUCCGGCAGAGAGUGAGAUUGAUAGAUGUUGAGCUCUAGGUUCAAUCGUUCAGGGCUAUUAGAGGGCCUCCGAUUGAUUAUUUCUUUUACCUGAUUUAUAUUAUGUCAAUGCAUUCAUACUAAACUGCUGAAUUUGGCAUGUUACAUUCUUUAUUGAAUCUGUUAUAAGAUUGUUGAUCGAGACAGUUGAGAUAUAUAUGCUAUAUACUAUUUUUAUGGGAAAGUAUACAGGUUUUCCAAAAAGGGGUUAUAAAUGUGGAUUUAUGAAAUGUUUUGGAAAAGCUUUAUUUUCGCCCACUCACGUUUUCUGUUUUUCGCCCCUCCAGGUUAUAGUUGAUAGUUGAGGCGUUGGUGGCCUACGAGGACUGCUUCGGCGUUCUGACAGACUAAAUAAAUGUAGGAUUCACCCGAGGGUGUUGUAAAAUAGUUAUGGUCCUACUUGACUGCACCUAGACGCUUAUGCUCUGUUUAUGUGUGUUUAGUACACUCUUAUGCACAUAGAAUGCUAGGUUGUAAAUAACUGCAAUUAGUGGUUUUCGUUGACUCGUAUUUUUUUUAUUAAAUCGUUUCCGCUUGCGUUAUGGUUACGUCACGCUCACGUGACGGCCAGCAUGUCCUAGUCUUCGGGUUAGGGUGUGUCAGUUUGGUAUCAGAGCAUAGGUUGCAGUCCUGUAUAACUAGUGAUUUUACUUAUUAAUUUUUGGAUGUUUUCUGUCAGAAUUAUGCCGCCUCGUAGAGAUCCUCGCCGUGCUGCUGAGCCUAAUUUCCCCGAUAUAACUCAGCUAGGGGCAGCAAUGGCUCAAGCUUUUCAGGCUAAUAUCCGUCCUCCUCAGAGAACGCCCGUAGAGACGAUGUAUAAUCUGAAACUGGAAACUUUUGAGGGAAAUGAAGGUUAUGAAGGGGCAGAAAAGUGGUUGGAUCGAAUUGAGCAGACCUUUCAAGUGAUGCAAAGUCAGGGAAACCUGCCAGCUAAUAGAUGGGUGGAGACCACCACCUGGUUUUUGGGCCGUGAGCCAGCGGCGUGGUGGAUAAAUCAGUCGAGGCACAUGGCACCUGAAAGGACAGCCGAAUGAGAGGUAUUUAAGGAAAAUUUUAUGAAGAGAUUUGUUCCUCCGGAAUAUAUAGAUCGCAAGAAACAGGAAUUCACCAGUCUGAAGCAGAGAAAUAUGUCCGCACAUGAGUACUACAGGAAGUUUACUGAUUUAUCCCGUUAUGAUCUGAUUUAGCGGGUAAUCAAGCAGAAAUGCUUCGUCGUUUCAAGCUAGGAUCUAAGAAGAAGUACAGAACGUUUGCCAAUGCACUUCCCUGUGCCGAUUAUCAUGAGUAUUUUGAGAUUCUGGUCCGGAUGGAAGACUCUGAUAAUCUUCCGGACAGUGAGGAUGAAGAGGAUAAGGGUAAUGGUCAGAAGAAAAAUGAGAAAGGUAAAGGUGUUUCCAUUCCAGGACCUCGUCAGACGUAGAAUUUCAAGAAAAGUGGAAUGAGUUCCAGUUCUUCCAGUGGUGGAUUUAGUGCCACAGGUCCGAGGAGAGGAGGUGGUAGGUUUGGUAAUGGACUUAGAUUUUCUGGUCAGAGAGGUUUUGGUGGUACUGGUAGUUCGGGUUCUCCGUUAUGUCGCCAUUGUAAUUUCCGACAUUAUGGGGAAUGUAGGAGAAUCAGUGGUGCAUGCUUUACAUGUGGUCAGACAGGACAUAGAGCUAUGAAUUGUCCCCAGAAUCAGCAGAGGCCCCAGCAGCUUGUUAGGCCAACACCAGCACCGACUCAACAGAACUUUAAUUCAGGCAAUUAUGGCCAGGGUGGUCGUGGUGGUGCUUAUCACUAUCAGGGUGAUGCUGCUCCUUAUGCUCCGGGACAGUAUCACUAUUCCCAGGAUCCUUAUUUUCAGAGUGGAUAUUCUCAGGAUCAAGGAGGUUAUACUUCAUAUCCGUCUAUGCCAGCUAGCGGAUCUCAGUGGUAUCAGGGGGGUCAGCCCCAACAGAGCGGAGUUGCUGCUAGUAGUACAGGGUCGUUUAGGCCGCCUGCCCAGGCAGGUCAAGGACGUACUCAUCAGGGACGAGGUAACCAGAGUGGCAGAGGUCGUGGAGGACGACAGUCAGCUCAGGGACGUGUUAACCACAUAUCGCUACAAGAUGCUCAGAACCAUCCAGACUUGAUUAUAGGUACGUUGAAUGUUCUUGGUCAUUUUGCUAGAGUCUUGAUUGAUUGUGGUGCUACACACUCUGUGAUUUCUCAUACAUUUGCUCAAAUAACGCAACCUCAUCCUUCACCUCUAGGGUUUGAUUUAGAGUUUGCUAUGCCUAGAGGGGAUAAAUGUUAUGUUGAUAGUUUUUACUCUGGGUGUCCAGUGAUGGUAGAUAAUGUCAUUAUGCCUGCUAAUCUUAUCCCGUUAGACAUCGUGGAUUUUGAUGUGAUUUUAGGGGCGGAUUGGUUGCAUUAUAAUCGCGCCCAUAUAGAUUGUUACGGGAAAUCAGUUACUUUUCUUCGUCCUGGACUACCCGAGGUUACAUUUGUGGGUGAAAGAAAUGGGGUGAGGCAUGGUGUUAUUUCAGCCAUAAGGGCAAAGAAGUUGUUAUCCAAGGGUUGUCAGGGAUACUUGGCACAUGUGGUGUUAAAUGAUGUUGAUUCCGGUAGUGUGGAGGAAGUCGGAGUAGUCAGACACUAUCCUGAUGUAUUUCCAGAUGAUUUACCUGGGUUGCCUCCAGAUAGAGAUGUGGAAUUUUCGAUUGAUUUGCUUCCAGGUACGAACCCUAUCUCUUUGACUCCUUAUAGAAUGGCACCAGCGGAAUUAAGAGAGUUGAAAAUUCAAUUGCAAGAGUUAAUUGAUAAAGGUUUCAUUCAGCCUAGUUCUUCACCUUGGGGAGCUCCGGUGUUGUUUGUAAGAAAGAAAGAUGGAACUUUGAGAUUGUGCAUUGAUUACAGGCAAUUGAAUCGGGUGACGAUUAAAAACCGUUAUCCCUUGCCUCGUAUAGAUGAUUUGUUUGAUCAACUCAAAGGUGCCUGUGUGUUUUCUAAGAUCGAUUUGAGGUCUGGGUAUUAUCAAUUAAAGAUUAAAGAUGAGGAUGUUCAUAAAACAGCUUUCAGGACUCGUUAUGGGCAUUAUGAGUUUUUGGUGAUGCCAUUUGGAUUAACGAACGCUCCUGCAGCUUUCAUGAGAUUGAUGAAUGAAGUAUUCCAGGAAUAUCUUGACAAGUUUGUUAUUGUUUUUAUUGAUGACAUCCUGGUAUAUUCUAAGUCGAAAUCAGACCAUAUUCGACAUCUUAACUUGGUGUUAAGGAAAUUGAGGGAACACCGAUUAUAUGCCAAAUUUAGUAAAUGUGAAUUUUGGCUGGAUCAAGUGGCAUUUUUGGGACAUGUAGUAUCAGCUCAGGGAAUUCAAGUGGAUCCUCAAAAGAUAGCAGCAGUGGAAAAUUGGGAACAACCUCGAACGGUCACUGAGGUGCGGAGUUUUCUUGGUUUGGCAGGUUAUUAUAGACGGUUUGUUCAAGACUUUUCUAUGAUUGCCUUGCCAUUAACGAAGUUAACCAGGAAGGAUGUUAAGUUUGAAUGGGAUGAAAGUUGUGAGCAAAGUUUCCAGCAGUUGAAGUAUUGCCUUACUCAUGCACCUGUGUUAGUACUUCCUGAUGAUGAUGGUAACUUCGAGAUCUUUAGUGAUGCUUCUUUGAAUGGUUUGGGUUGUGUUUUGAUGCAGCAGAGUAGAGUGAUUGCCUAUGCUUCUAGGCAGUUGAAGAUUCAUGAAAGAAACUAUCCGACUCACGAUCUUGAGUUGGCAGCUAUUGUGUUUGCUUUGAAGAUCUGGAGACAUUAUCUCUAUGGCGAGAAAUGUAAGAUCUUUACAGAUCAUAAAAGCCUUAAGUACCUUUUCACUCAGCAUGAUCUUAAUCUUCGUCAGAGAAGAUGGUUGGAAUUGUUAAGUGAUUAUGAUUGCACGAUUGAGUACCAUCCGGGUCGUGCAAAUGUGGUAGCUGAUGCUCUGAGUAGAAAACCUCAAGGGCGACUUAAUGCUUUGUAUGCCAGUCGUGUUCCUCUUCUGGCAGAGUUGAGAUCCACUGGAGUAGAAUUAGAAUGGGAAGAGCAAAGUGAAGCUUUUCUUGCCAAUUUUCAAGUCAAGCCAAUUUUAAUUGAUCGGGUGCUUACAGCUCAAUCGUUGGAUGAAGAAAUUCAAGAAUUGAUCAGUUUAAGAAAGGAAGGGAAGAAGAAAGAUCUCAAGAUCCGAGAAUCUGAUAGUAUGCUUAUGCAAGAGAACAGGAUGUAUGUGCCUAACAAUGAAGAACUGAAGAAAGAAAUCUUGGAUGAAGCACAUUGUUCGGCUUAUGCUAUGCACCCAGGAGGAACUAAAAUGUAUCAUACCAUUCGACCAUUCUACUAUUGGCCGGGUAUGAAGAGGGAGAUUGCGGAGUAUGUUAGUAGGUGUAUUGUCUGCCAGCAGGUUAAGGCUGAAAGAAAGAAGCCGUUUGGGAGAUUGCAACCACUUCCUGUUCCCCAGUGGAAAUGGGAGAAUAUAACGAUGGAUUUUGUGUAUAAGCUGCCACGUACACAAAAUGGUUUUGAUGGCAUUUGGGUGGUUGUAGAUCGACUUACCAAAUCAGCACAUUUUAUUCCAGUAAGGGAGAAGUAUCCUUUAAAUAAGUUGGCUCAGUUAUUCAUAUCGAAGAUUGUAAAGUAUCAUGGUGUCCCAGUGAAUAUUAUUUCUGAUCGAGAUCCAAGAUUUACUUCUAAGUUUUGGAUAGCUUUUCAAGAAGCUUUGGGUACUAGAUUGCUUUACAGUACAGCUUAUCAUCCACAGACAGAUGGUCAGUCGGAGAGAACUAUUCAGACACUCGAGGAUAUGUUGAGAUCCUCUGUGAUGCAAUUUGGUGAUUCUUGGCAUGAUCGUUUGGAUUUGAUGGAGUUUGCCUAUAAUAAUAGUUUUCAUUCGAGUAUUGGAAUGUCUCCAUUUGAAGCACUUUAUGGUAAAGCUUGCCGUACGCCAUUAUGUUGGUCAGAGGUUGGUGAAAGAAUACUUGAAGGGCCAGAGAUUGUGGAUGAGACUACUCAGAAUAUUCAGGUAAUUAAAUCUAACCUGAAAGUGGCCCAGGAUAGACAAAAGAGCCUAGCGGAUCGACAUACCACGGACAGAAUGUAUAAUGUGGGCGACUAUGUUUUUCUGAAAUUAUCGCCUUGGAGAGGUGUGGUUCGCUUUGGAAAGAAAGGAAAGCUAAGUCCCAGGUACAUUGGACCUUAUGAGAUCACUGACAGGAUUGGUGAAGUUGCUUACAGGUUGGAGCUACCUCCAGAGUUGUCUAAGGUACAUAAUGUGUUCCAUGUCUCGAUGCUUCGGCAUUAUGUGUCAGAUCCUUCACAUGUGAUUCCUCCUCAACCAUUGGAAAUUAAUCCGGACUUGACGUACGAUGAGGAACCAGUGACUAUACUGGAUUGGAAAGAUAAGACCUUGAGGAAUAAGACCGUGAGCUUGGUAAAAGUAUUGUGGAGGAACCAUUCAGCGGAAGAAGCUACUUGGGAGACAGAAGAACGGAUGAGAGAUAUGUAUCCAAGGUUAUUCUAUGAGUAUUGAGGGUUUGGUUAGUGGCUGGAAUUUCGGGGACGAAAUUCUAUAAGGAGGGGAGAUUGUCACAGCCCGUCCCGGAAUUUUAAUUCCGAGGACGUGAAAUGACCAAUGUGACCUUAAACGGGAUUAAGGUGUGUAAAUGUUUGACAUUUGUUUUACCUAAAGAUCCUAAACUAUUGUUAUUUAGAAUAUUAUUUUAUGUUAGGGACUUAAACUAGGGUUUAGAUUUACAUUUGUUUGGUCUAAUAAUUUUGUAUUGGACUUAGGUGGGAUCCCCACCUCCUGAAAUCCUUCCCCAAAACCCGUAGGUUGUCUCUCUCCCUCUUUCUUCCUCAUCUCUCCCUCAGAAACACUCUCUCUCUUACUCUCGAACUCUCUCAAGCUCUCGGACAAACACCAAGAACAACCACAAACGUGCACCAACGUCCAAUCUAAGAUCAUCUUCGUGAUCUUGGGAACUUCACGAGCACGGGGGUAUAAGUUUCAGGUAAGUUUCAUUUCUGAAAUCCUAGUUUCAAAACACCCCGUGAAUUGACACUGUUCACGAACUUAAAUUUCGUUGUGUUUUAGGCUAAUCUGAGAUCACCACGAGUCUUAGAAAGUUCCAAGGAGGCUCGGAGUGCCUCGUUUGAACAAAAUGGACGUCGAGAUCGUCGGGUUCGAGUUUGGCCGAAAUUGAGGAAUUUUGGAAGGUAUGAUCUCGUAGUUUUUAGACCUUAAAACCCUUCCAUCGUGAUUGUACAUGUGAAAUGCUUCAUUUUGGUGUAAAAUACAUGAAAAAUGGACGAAAAAACGAAGGAGAAAAGUGGAUUUGAAAUUUUUCCAGAAACCGGCGAACAGUCGCCGGCGGCCGGUGACUCGCCGGAGAAGACAGGGAAUAUUCCGUCAAAACUGACGGAAUAUUCCAACGCCGUUACCGUUACCGUUGGGUAUUUAACGGAAUAUUCCGAGAAUAUUCCCUAACGCCGUUCACUGUACCGUCAGUGUGCACGGCACGUGGCUGCGCGUGGGGGCGCGUAGACCCGUGCCCUAUUUGGCGCGUGGAGGCGCGUGGAGCAUUCAAAAUUUUUUUUUUAAAAAUAUGGGGAUGAUCCUGAGGUUGUGUAGGUCACGGUGGUAUAUUUUAUAUACCCAAUUUGAGCAACAUAUGGAAUUUAUUACCUAGUUGGUUUAGGUGCGUUAAAUGUGCGUUAAAUGAUUGUUUUAAGUUAUUUCACUUCUAGGUGGAACUUUUAACGAGGACGAGCACAUCCAGGGGCGUCAAGGGGGUUACGACCCGGCGACAUACCAGUGAGUGGGCAUUGCUUUCUAUAUAUAUAUACCUAUAUACUCGAUUUCCCCAGAAAUCAAAUUUAAAUGAAAAAUAUACUGAAAUGAAAUGAAAUAUGAUGUGAUUGCCAUGCAUAGAAUGUUAUGGAUAUUAUGAACUGUCGUAUGAUGCAUAUAUGUGUGAUGGUGCUGUGGACGCACAGGUAAGUAUUUAAUUACUGUUAUGUUGAGGAUGAUGAUAUAUUGAGCUCAUAUCCUGCACCAUGGUUUAGUGCUUAUAGUAUUCACCGCAUCGCACGCUCGCCUUGGAUCCAAGUAGAUGCUGGUCGUACAGUCCACGCGGAGUGGGUACGACGGGCCAGUCGUAGAGUGUUAGUGAGAUUAUGACUGGUGGGUGACCUUAGGUUAUUGUAUACAGAUGAUUGAUGAGAGAAGCACUAGAGCGAAUAUUACCAUGAGUCGUUCAGACUGCAUUAGGUGGUUCCGACUUAUGUGCAGAAGGCCGGACAGGUCACGCGGAGUGACUCCGGCAGAGAGUGAGAUUGAUAGAUGUUGAGCUCUAGGUUCAAUCGUUCAGGGCUAUUAGAGGGCCUCCGAUUGAUUAUUUCUUUUACCUGAUUUAUAUUAUGUCAAUGCAUUCAUACUAAACUGCUGAAUUUGGCAUGGUACAUUCUUUAUUGAAUCUGUUAUAAGAUUGUUGAUCGAGACAGUUGAGAUAUAUAUGCUAUAUACUAUUUUUCUGGGAAAGUAUACAGGUUUUCCAAAAAGGGGUUAUAAAUGUGGAUUUAUGAAAUGUUUUGGAAAAGCUUUAUUUUCGCCCACUCACGUUUUCUGUUUUUCGCCCCUCCAGGUUCUAGUUGAUAGUUGAGGCGUUGGUGGCCUACGAGGACUGCUUCGGCGUUCUGACAGACUAAAUAAAUGUAGGAUUCACCCGAGGGUGUUGUAAAAUAGUUAUGGUCCUACUUGACUGCACCUAGACGCUUAUGCUCUGUUUAUGUGUGUUUAGUACACUCUUAUGCACAUAGAAUGCUAGGUUGUAAAUAACUGCAAUUAGUGGUUUUCGUUGACUCGUAUUUUUUUUAUUAAAUCGUUUCCGCUUGCGUUAUGGUUACGUCACGCUCACGUGACGGCCAGCAUGUCCUAGUCUUCGGGUUAGGGUGUGUCAGUUUCAGUGCGGGCUUGAAUGGAGGAAAGGGCAGAAAGUCAGCGAAUCAUUUAUGAUGAUAUGAGGGGAUUGCAUAUGACAAGAUGUUCAGAGUUUAUGCAUGACGCUGGGAUACUAGUGUGAACCAACUAUUCUACGGAGUAGCCGAGUAGGCGGAUUGGUUCAAAUGGAGAGAAAAAACAAAGGAUUGAACUAAAAAUAUUUUAUGGAGAUAUCCAUUUUCCUGGAGACAUGGAUAAGAUAUUCCGUUGUGCAUCUUGGAAAGAUGUGCCCAGGACCUGAAGAAGUCUAUGCUGGAUGAAUUAUUAGUAAAUGUGAAUUAGUAAAAUAAGAAUUAUUUUUGUUAAAUAGUAUGUUAUAAUGAUUAAUUUGUAAUUGUUUUCUGUAUAACAGUGUAACUAUAUUAUUGAUGUUACGAACCAAGACUUGAUGAAGACUUGAUGAACCAACAGAGUAGAAUUGUUAAUUAAGGGUUAUGAACGAAUAACAUAUUUUUAUAUUUAUGUAUUUGAGGAGGAUGUUUUUAAUUAUCUCUUUAAUAUGUAUUUGGAUUAAAUUUUUAGUUUAAUUGGUUAGUUGAUUAAUUUGAUCUAUUUAAUUUUAUUUAAGUUUUUAUAAGAUUAAAUAUUGAAUUUAAGUAUUUGUUUGUAGUUAUGAAGUUUACGUAAACAUAGAGUACUAAAUGAAUUACUCUUUGUUUACGUAAACUUGAUAAUUCCAAACAAAUAUUUAAAUUCAAUGCACUUCGUCAAUUAAGAGUUUACGUGACGAAAGUUUCGUCGCAUAGGCGUACACACGACGAAAUGAAGUUUGUUGCGCUAAGUGAGUUUGUGCGAUGGAAGCUACGUUGCACAAAGUGGGCAAAAAAGGCAGUUACAUUUCGAGCCAAUUAUCGAUGGUAUAUGUUUUGCACGACAAAGGCUUCUUCACGCAAAGAGCUCGUCUUAAUAAUUAGAUUCCUUAGUUGCAAAGGUAGAAACUACAAAUUUUGUAGUAGCUGCCUUUGCUAACAGCAUAGCAUCGCAAAAAUCGUCCCUCCCUUCAUCUCAAUCCCCAUCCUCUCUCCCUAAAUCGAUCUAUCCCGCUCUAUUCGGAAAGAGUUUUCAUUUUGUAUUUCAAAAUUUCAUUAUGAAUUGAAGCUAAAGCCAUUAAAUUUGUUUUCUAUAGGGUUUUUAUAUACGAUUAUCACUUGGUGAAAACAAAAUUAGAGGUCUAUUCUUUGGUUUUCAAAUUUUGUAUUAAUUUAAAUUAUUUAAGUUGUUUUUAAAUUAUCGUGUCAUUUAAAUUGUUUGCAUGAAAACAUUUUUGUACGUCAUGUACAAAAUUGUUUUCUGCUGUACGGAGUUAAUGGUAAUUAACUUCGUACGCGUAUUUUCAAUAAAAGUUUAGUCUCCUGUUCGAGGAUUUGAUGGAUUUCGCACAUGGAUGCAAAAGCAUCACUGCAAUCCAAUUGAUUCUUGAAUUGUCCCAUUAUUUGGAUAGUUUGAGAAUACACAGUUAUGCGGCAUAGUUUAGGGUUCACAGAUUAGGUUUUGAACAUGGAAAUUUCGGUCACAUCUCUUUAUGUUCUUCGAGUGCCAGAUAUGUAUUUUAUAUCUACGUUGUGCCCUUCAAGAAUUGUAGAGAGAUGUUGCCGGAAUUACCCCACGUCAAAAUCUAAUUCAAUGGAGCCUUAAACGACGUCGCAUAACUGGGCAUUUCCAAAUGGGAUAGGGCCAUGACCGGAGGCAUAAGGUGACAAUAUCUUGUUGAAGUUGUUGUCAUCACUGGAAUUUUAUUAUGCUUGCAAACAUUAUGGACAGAUAGUGGAUACAACAGCCCAACAGAUGUGCAGUCGAAUACUUGGAUGGAAUAAAUGACUUUAUUAAGUUCGCAUCUAGAUACAACCUAGGGGCAACUAGAAUUAAUCCGGUGUCCGUUAGGAGGUGUAACAACACGUUAAGGGAGACUUGUGAAAAUGUUCGAUUUCAUUUAGUAAGAAAUGGGAUGAUAGAGACCUAUACUACUUGGAAUCAUCAUGGGGAACAAUUAGACCAUGCUUCAUCUUCAAAUAUGACAAGAGUGGACAUUGUUGAACCUAAUAUGGAUCCUAAAGAACAUGUUAUGGAUAUUCUAAAUUACGCUUUUCCAUUUCCCUCAAUGAACACCAACCAAGAAAGGGAUAAUGACGUGCCUCCACCUCCACCCAUGGACAGUGAAACUUACGAACAAUAUGAAAAACUAUUAAAAAGUGCCAAUCAAGAAUUAUACUUGGGAUGUGAAGACUUUUCGGUGCUCACGACCGUUGUGCAGUUGAUGCAUGGCAAAGUAAAGUAUCGAAUGUCGAACCAAUGUUUUAACUACUUUUUGGGGGCUUUCAAGAGAAUGCUUCCGAAGGACAAUAGUUUGUCGAAAGAUCAUAAAAGUGCGCAGAAGGUGUUGAAUGGUCUCGAAUUGGGAUAUGAAUAACAAUGUUGUUAGAAACUAUUAGAUGUAUAAGCUAACUGAUAUAACAAACAUAACAGACAUAACAAACUCAAUCAAUCUAACAACCUCUCAACUAACUUGCUGACAUGGCACUCCAGUGAUGUGGCAAUACUUAGGUGGCAAUAAAUUCAACAUGAUAAUCGAAGUAAAGCACACUGCUAGCUCUAGCCAACCUGACUAAGUCAAAAUUCCUUUAUUCUUUAUUGUGGAUGCAAAUUUUCUCCUCCUCGAUCUUGGACGAUUUUGCACCUACAAAACAACUAGCACCUUAGGUUAAGGCCAAAAGCAUCACGCGCCCACGAUGAAUGGGGGGGGCUUUGGCCGAAGAACCUCCGAUGCCAAAGUUAGAAUUUUAGAGAGAAAUAGUGUUUAGAAUAUUUGGGAUUUUUUGUAAGAGCCUUGGAACUAGUGUUUUGUGAAAAUGGGAACCAAUUUAUAGGAGAGGAAAGGGUGGCUGGCCUUUAAGCCUAGGGUGAUUUAUUUUGGGGGGUUAUGGAGAUAAUGGGCUAGUUAUUUUGGGGAGUUAUGGAAAUAAUUGGCUAGCAGUUAAUUAGCAAAUAGUAAUAACCUAAUUAACUCGCUAUUUGAAUGUCAUAAAAAGGGGAAGAAAAUGGUAGCAACAAACAGAAAAUAAAGGGCAUGGCCGGCCCUAGUGGGUAACCGGCCUUUGGUAGGUUUUUGGUUAUAAUUUGGAGGUUUAAUUGAUAAUUAAGGGAUUGAUUAGGUAAUUAAUCCCUUAAUUAGUCAAUUUUAGGAAAUAUGAAAGGAAAAUACUAUUUAGCGAAUUUAUUAGCUAAAUAAUGGAAUAUAAAGCAUAUAGAAUAAAUUAGAUUUUUGGGAAUUACCUUAUAGAAAUGAUUUGAUGAAAUAGGCUUUAAAUUGUUACCUAUUUGGGCACUUUUGAUUUGGUUGAAAGAUGAUUGCUCGCUGCUCGCGCGUAGGAAUCCCGGUAUGCCUCGAGGGUAUUUUUGUCAUCCUUUGUCCAAAAGUCCACGUGUCGCCUAGUGAAUAUUUUUGGCUCCACGUUUAUUCUUUUUUUUUUUUUAUGAAUUUAUUCUUCUUCUUUUUUCGGUAACAAAUGAAUUUAUUCUUUAUUCAAGAGUAUACUACCCAAGUUUUUUAUUUUCGCAUUUCCUUUUCCUUCGAGAGCAAUCCCAUAAAUCUAGAAACGAAACAUAGAUAUCCCAAAUAAAUUAAUUGAAACAGACCAGCCCGGAGUUGAGCCAAAUAAAGAACAUUGCUGCAAAAACUGGAUUUUGGUAUAUGGUGUAACCGAGCCAUGCAUGAACUAUUAAGGAACUAAUGUUAAAAAAGAAAAAGAAAGUUCUCUUUUGCUGAGAAUACUCACACAUUUCAGUAGCCAAUUUAUCAUAGUCGACACUUUGACGGGUUGACCCAAGAAAAAGAAGUAAUCCCGGAUAAUUUCAGUUGCCAAUUUAAUACAGUCUGGACUUUGAAGUCCAUGGAAGAACUUGUCGUUGUGACUUUAGACAUAUGUAAAAAAUUUCUUUCCACAUUAGCUAAACUAUAUGUGGUCUAUUCUUACGAUGCAUCCAUAGAAGAACUUGUCGUUGUGACUUAGACAUGUAUAUAUAUAAUUUCUUUCCACACUAGCUAAGCUAUAUAUGGUCUACCCUCAAGAUGCAUCCAUGGAAAAACUUCUUGUUGUGACUUAGACAUAUAUAAAUUUUCUUCCCACACUAGCUAUAAGAUAUAUAUAUAUAUAUAUAGCUGAUACUAAACCGAAUGGGUACAAUAGAUAAAGUUAAUAUCAUAGUUGUUAUGUCAGGAAAAAAGAAAAAAAAAACAUAAGAAAUAUCCAGGCACAAUAAGCCUCACAAGUCGCAAUCUUUUCGAGAUAAAAUUAUUUAGCGAUUAGGAACCUAGGAUGCACAUGGCUCGAGAUGAAUCACUUUGCAAAUAGUUUCCGUUGUCUUUACUAUUUUUUGGCAUUUUCAUUAAAGCUUCCUAUUAAUAACUCUAGUUUGAUCAUAAGAUUUAUACUUCUUGGCUCGUGUUAAUAACUUUAGUUUUGACCCUUGACCAAACUUAUGGUUCGCAUCUGUAUUUCUUUUAGAAAACUUUCUCAAAACGCGACGAUAUUAUAAAAAGAAGCAUCUCCAUUUGGAGGAAUCUCACAUAUACUUCUCAAACCAUCCCUCGCUUAGACUUUUCCUUUUGUUGAGAAAUCCCUUGCUUAGACUUAACUAUAAAAUUUGCCCGUUUUGUUGCGGAUUUUGAAACCAUUGUCUACAACAUGCAUGAAUAAUUUUCACAUAAAGUAACUAAAUAGAUGGUGUAGUACCUAAGAACCAAUGAAGUGAACUUUUGCUUGCUAUAUAUGGAUAUGCUUGCCUACUGCAUGGGGGAAAAAACACAAAAAAGGGAAAGUAGAAAAGUAAAAGAGUAAUACUUGAGCAUCUAGUAGGAAUAGUAAGUUUAUGGAAAAAUUACUAAAUCGUCUAACAAAUUCAAUUGUUAACGUUAUACAAUGACCCAAGACAAAGACAAAGUAUAUAGUUAACAAAUCAAAACAAAGUGCUACCAUAAUUCACAACAUCUAUGAAUCAUUUUCAUAGAAACAUACUCAAAAUUGACGGGUAAAUCGAAUAACCUGCAAGCAAAGCAAUAUAAUAUCAUGUGCUAACACGGAACUAAAACAAAAGGAGGAUUACGUAUCGAAAUUUUCCAUAAGGCAUCAAUUGACAAAAUGCUUCUUAAUUAAUGUGGGUUUCCAAGAAAUGAAUGCAGCUCCAAAACAACUUGGAAAACACCUUAGAAAUAUUUAUCACCCCAAUCUUACCAAAUAGAAGCAUAAAUGAACAUGAUAGCUCCCUAAUUUUAUAAUAGAAACUCCAACAAAGAAUAUUAGGCUCCAAAGGUCUUGACUUUUCCUUGGCAUAAAUUUGUACAUUGCAAGUUUAAUUCAAAUGAAACAAAUACAUGUGUAAAGUAAAAGGCAUCAACGCUACAUGUACUACUUUACAAUCAUCUCAAGAUUCUGACACAAUGCCUAAAAUAUUCUAGACUCAAAGAUUUUCAUUUAAAGAGAACACCUCACCUAAACAAUAACCGAGGUUGUGGUACUUGAAUCAAGUAGGUAGACACUUUGCAAGGCCUUCUUCAAUAUCAUCUCAUAUUCCCUUUCUAUUUUUCCUAUAUGAUAUAAUAAAUUGUUUAAAUUUAGAUGUAAAUAAGAGAAUCCACCACACUCUUGCUAUCACAGUUGUCAAUCCUGAACAAUAAUACAAGUCUAGUUGCAAAAACCACCUCAAUAAACUAUACAUAUAAAUUUUCAAAACUCUAGUAAAGACAUUAACCGAGAUGCGAUCUUUCUAAGAAGCUCAGAUGACAAUAAAAUAAAAAGUGGAAACGAUGACUUACACUUUUAAGGCCUACUGCAAGUCUGGCACUUCCCCUUUGCUUAUCAUCAGCAAGUACUCACAACUGCCUCUUACCACAGUUAAGAAUUUGACGUAGUGUAUUUCUAGCACAACUAUUUCGUUUUCAUCUUUCACUUUUUCUUUAAAUAAUAAAAACUAAUACAUGUUUGGUAACUAGUUUCAUUUUUCAAAAAAAACAUGAAAAUUGAAAAUAAAAAAAUAAUGUAGUUUUCAAAAUUUGAGUUUCAAUAACAAGGAUGUGUUCGCUUGGUCCCCCAAAGACAUACCUGGCUUUGAUCAUUUGGUAAUCUCUGUUAGCGUCUCCAUCUAGACCCAACCAUAAAACUGAUUAUUCAUGGGAUUUUAAGUACAUGCGCAAAUAAGAUUAAAAUCACUGAAAAUACUUGUAAGAGUACAAGGUAAUUGUAGUAUAAUCGCUCAUGCAAGGUCAUUUUCCCCAAAGAUUGUUUGACUAAUUUGUAAUUAAACUAACUCUUAAUUAAUUAUUAAAACAGAUUUUUAUCAAAGACUUGAGAUUUUUGAACUUAAAAAGAUUAAAUUAACAAUAAAAGAAAUCUGAAAAGUUUGGAAAUAAUGGCAGCAAAAGGAAAAAAAACGUUUUUUAAAUUAAACAAUUAUGGGAAAAACUAGUGUUAAGCCGUCACCAUUAACAAUCCUAUGCAAUUCUACCAAUUACCUAUGAAUUUACACAUACAUGCAUUGAAGGUUAGGUUUUCCUAAUGCAUAUUCCUCAUGAUGUUCAAGCGAAAACGUAUAUCUAACAUGCAAUCCGUCUGUGAUGUUCAUAUCAAAUAUAAACAUGCAUGACUCAUUAAGCUUUGUGAAAACCCUUUGAAAAACCAUGCAACCCUUGAGAGCAUGAUGUUCGCUUUAAGUGAACUUACAAUUACUAAUCACAAGAAGCCCUCCUCAAUUUCAGGGUGAUGUUCCAACAGAAAUUGCAUCAAAUUACUUGUCUAAAUAUCCUAACGGUGAUUUGGCAUUAAAAUAUAUAGAUAGUUUUAAUCGCGGUGGUUAAUAAUUCAAAACAAGCAUGCAUCCAUUCAUAAGCAAAUUAAUAAAAUCAUAUAUUCAUGCUAAUGCUCGUGGCAUCGCCCUAGCAAAAAUUAAAAUCCCUCGUAGAAAAGGUUUUCUAAAAACUAGGAAAUAAAAUAAUAAAAGGAUAACAUAAAAACACACUCCAAAUCUAACUAGGAAAUCUGCCUAGCAAAGAAAUAGCCACGUUUAUAGACCUUCAAGGCACCAUAGGCCCAAAACGAAUCAAAUUAAAGAUUAUGACCUUCUCUUCAAGUUCCAAGAAGAGUCCAAGUCCAAAAUCCAUCAUCUUCCAGCCUAAAAGUCACAAACAAGCUCUAUAGCCCAAUCUGUCAGAACUACGCACUAGGUAUAAAUUAAUUCGCCACGAUCAGAUGCUUCAAGAUAAAAUUAUGAAAUUUUGACACAACCUUCUUGACAGACUUACAAACCCGUUUCAAUUAGAAUCACUCAAAAAUUCCACCGUUUGAUUACUUUAUGCUUGGAACAAGUUCGCACAUCCUACAUUGAAAAUACAUAACAAAGCGUCAAAAUCUCAUCAAUAAAAUAACCAAUAAAAUACCACGAAAGGGGAAAAUAUAUAUCAUAAAAUCGACUCAUCAAUUAUGUAGCGAAAGUGCAGUCAUGUAACGGAGCAGAGUAAACUCAUUGAGGUUGAGAUCGACAAAAUUAGGGAUGCCAACUUCAUUGUUGAAGUCCAUCAUCCAAAUUGGCUGGGCAACGUAGCCCUUGUGCAGAAGAAGAAUGGCAAGUGGAGAGUCUAUGUAGAUUUAAAAAAUUUGAACAAGGCAUGCCCCAAGGAUCCUUAUCCUCUACCUCGGAUAGGCUUUCUUAUCGACCUCAUUUUUUAAUUAAAAGUUUUAAAAACUAAAACUUAGUUACCAAACAAAUUUUAAAUUUUUAAAAAAAUGAAAACAAAAAACUGUAAACAAAAUGGUUGUCAAACACCAUUUAAUGUUGAAGUUCUAUAAUUGUGUAUGAUGGCAGAAGUUGAUAAACACAUAACAUAUUUCUCUGCACACACACUCCUUUUUUUCAUUUUUUUUACCAUCAUAUUGAAUAAAUCAAACAAAAAAAGACCAAAAUUAAUUACCAAACAAAUUUUAAAUUUUAAAAAGAAAAUUAAAACAAAAUGGUUAUCAAACAGGUUCCGCUUUUCCAAGUGUGUGAGAAGAUUCGUUUCACACGAUGUGCCUUGUUAGCAUGGCAACGUGAGGUGUUCAGCUCUACAAAUACAAAGGCAAAGAUUGCUAAAGUACGGGAUAAGUUGGGUGUGUUGUUUAAGCAUCCACGUUCGGCUGAGUUAUAUGCGGCAAGGGGUGAGCUGUUAGGUCAGCUUGCUUCACUUCUUGGGUGAGAGGAGAUGUAUUGGAGGCAACGUUCGCGUGUUUAGUGGUUACAGGAAGGGGAUAGGAAUACAAAGUUUUUCCAUUUGCGGGCAUCCAAUCGUAAACGGAAAAAUACGAUUAAAGGGCUAAGGGAUGCGCAAUGAGUGUGACAGGACUCCAGGGCUGGAAUUCAAGGCACGGUUGUAGGGUAUUUUCAGAAUAUUUUUCACUCCCAUGGUGUUCUUUACAAUUUGGUACAAGAGGUGAUGGCGACUUGUUCCCAACGGGUUACCCCCGAGAUGAAUGCGGAGUUGUUAAAGCCUUACUUGGAGGAAGAGAUUCGUUUUGCACUUUUCCAAAUGCAUCCGUCUAAAACCCUCGGUCCGGAUGGUAUGUCACUUUUGUUUUUUCAAAAGUUUUGGCAUGUUGUUAAGCAUGACGUGGUGAAUGCUAUUCACUCUUUUAUCACCUAUGGACGAUUACUACGGGAGGCGUGUUUCACUCAUGUUGUAUUAAUAACUAAGGUGAAUCAACUGCAGGAAAUGUCACAAUUGUGCCCGAUUAGUCUAUGUAAUGUAAUUUACAAGAUUGGUGCAAAGGUGAUUGCGAACCGAUUGAAGAAAUUUUUUUAAUGUUUUAAUUUCUCCGCAUCAGAAAUAGGUCAAAGGUGCAAGGGCGAAAUUUUUUUAAUGUUUUAAUUUUGUUCCAGGGAGGUUGAUUUCUGAUAACACUUUGGUGGCAGCUGAAAUAGGUCAUUUCCUUCACAAUAAGAGGUGGGGACGGGAGGGAUCCUUUGCACUCAAGUUAGAUCUAAGCAAGGCAUAUGAUAGGGUGGAGUUGAUUUUUUUGGAAGCUAUGAUGUUGAGGUUGGGGUUUAAUAGUAGAUGGGUGGCUGUUGUUAUGAUGUGUGUGAAAUCGGUUUCGUACUCUUUUUUGGUUAAUGGCGAGGCAUGUAGGUAUGUUGUGCCAUCUUGCAUUCUUCGCCAAGGUGACCCUCUAUCUCCCUAUUUGUUUCUUCUUUGUAUUGAAGGUUUGUCAGCACUUAUUGCUCAUAGAGAAUAGAAUGGAGUGAUUAGUGGGAUAAGGAUUUGUGAUGGUGCUCCUAGUGUUCAUCAUUUGUUAUUUGCCGAUGAUAGUUUCUUGUUUGGUAAGGUGAAGUUGGAGAAGUGUGCAGAGGUUCAGCAUAUUCUAGAUGUGCUCUCCCAAGCAUCAGGUCAAGAAAUAAAUUUGGGUAAAAGUAGCAUUGCUUUCAGUGCUAACGUGAGAGGCCAUGAGCAGCAAGGGUUGGUAAUUGGUGGAGCGACAUGAAAGAUAUUUGGGCUUGCCUAUGUUCGUGGGUAAGAACAAAUGGCAAACUUUUGCUUAUAUUAAGUAGAGAGUUCAUGAAAUGCUGAGUGGGCGGAAAGGGAAGUGUUUAAGUGGAGUGGGAUGGGAGUUGCUUGUGAAGGUGGUGGCUCAGGCGUUGCCUACAUAUGCUAUGAAUUGUUUUCUGCUUCCGAAGACUUUUUGUGAAGAUCUACAUCAGCUCAUGGCUCAGUUUUUGUGGGGGUAGUGACCUUGAUUCAAGGAAAAUUCAUUGGAAGUCAUGGGAUAAGUUAUGUUAGGCUAAAUCGAAAUGGGGUAUGGGGUUCCGGAACCUUUAUGCCUUGGAUCUGGCGGUGUUGGUGAAACAGGGAUGGCAUAUUCUCCAAGAUCCCAAGUCGUUGACGACAUGGUUGUUUAAAGCAAAAUAUCACCCACAUACGUCAUUUUGGGACGCUCUAGUUCCUUCUUCUUCUUCUUAUUGUUGGUCUAGCAUACUCAAAGCUAGAAUUAUCUUGGAGAAGGGGUCGAGAUGGUUGAUAGGUGAUGGGGCGUCAAUACGAGUAUGGAAGGAUCGGUGGGUACCUCGACCAUUAUCUUUUCGUCCUAUAUCUCGGUCGCUUCCCUCAAGGGAGAAUAUGUUGGUGCAGGAAUUGAUUGAUGGGGAGAGAAGAAUGUGGUGUGAUACUGCAUUGAGUGAUUAUUUUGAAGAGGAAGAUAGGGAGCACAUUCAUGCUUUACCAAUUAGCCAUCAUUUACCUCUGGACAAGCUUAUAUGGCAUUACACUGAUAAGGGACUAUUCACGGUUAAAAGUGCUUAUGGGGUUGCUUGGGAUUAUGUUAAACCACCCUCUUUGAGUGCUUCUUCUUCCGCUCUUGGUGGUAAUCCAUUUAUUCGGUUAUGGAAAGUAAUAUAGCAGGCCAGAGUCCCGCCGAAGGUGCAGACAUGUCAAGACAUUCUCCCGACAAAAGAGAAUUUGUCUAAGAAAGAGGUUGUUUCAGAUCCGUUGUGCGUUCUAUGUGGUGGAGAGCCCAAGAUGGUGGUGCAUGUUCUUAAGGAUUGUUUAUUUGCCAAAGCUACAUUGUCACAUCCCGGCCCAGGCUCGACUCCGCCACAGCACGAUAUUCUCCAUUUUGGUCCCUACCACACCCUCAUGAUUUUGUUUCUGGAAACUCACACGAGAACUUCCUAGUGGGUCACCCAUCCCAGGAUUGCUCUCGUGUGAACUCACUUAACUUCGAAGUUCUGAUGGAACCCAAAGCCAGUGAGCUCCUAAAAUGCCUCGUGUUAAUUAAAGGUGGGAAUGUACAUAUAAGGCUUAUACGAUCCUCGUCCCUAGGCGAUGUGGGAUUUUAUAAUCCACCCCUUUUAGGGGUCCGACGUCCUUGUCGGCACACUUUCGACCAAUGAGUGGCUCUGAUGCCAAAUUGACACAUCCCAGCCCGAGCUCCACCACUUCCCAGGCUCGACUCUGCCAUAGCACGAUAUUGUCCGUUUUGGGCCCCUACCACACCCUUACGGUUUUGUUUCUAGGAACUCACACGAGAACUUCCCAGUGGGCCACCUAUCCUGGGAUUGCUCUCGCGCGAACUCACUUAACAUUGAAGUUUCGAAGGACUUCGAAGCCAGUGUGACCUUCCAAAAUGCCUCGUGCUAGGUAGAGAUGAGAAUAUACAUAUAAGGCAUAGAGGAUCCACUCCCCUGGGCGAUGUGGAAUCUUACAUACAUGGUUUUGCAACCCCAUGUAGUUUUCUAGUUGAUUCCGUUCCUUGUGGAUCGGUUAAAGAAUAGGUCAUGUUGUUACUUCAAAAUCACCAUUUGGAGUUUGAUUUUAUAUGCAUGGCGAUAUGGCAUUUGUGGCAGGAGAGGAAUGAUAGAAUUUGGAAGGGGAAGCACGAGUCUCCAAUUGUGGUGGCUCAACAUGCGGUGGCUUGGUUACAGGAAUUUCAGGUCGCGGCAGAGCUUGUAACUGCUGUUCAGCAAUGGUGUCCUCGGGAUGGGCUUACGAAAGAUGGUGUUGUGGUCCUGAAGGGGGUGGCGGAUGACUGGAUACAGCUGAAUGUGGAUGGUGAGACUAAUUUGCAGAAUAAGGUAUGAGGGGCUGGGGUGGUUUUCCAAGACGGGUAGGGACAUUUUCUGGCUGCAGCGGCAUCUUUCCUCCCUACGGUGACGUCUGCUAACCAAGCAGAAAUGUUAGCCAUUAAGCAUGGUGUGAAGCUCGCCCAUCAGCUUGGCUUUCAGAAGGUUCUGGUUCGAAGUGACUCCUCCCAAGCAAUUUCCAUCAUUCAUACUUGUGUAGUCCAUGCGUCGGCUAUGGAUUUGUUAGCGGGGGAUGUCCUACAUAUUGCAGAGAAUUUUACUGCUUCUAAGUUUAUUUCCGUUUCUAGGAGUAAUAAUAGUAUUGCUCAUUGUUUGGCAAAGGUAGCAUUGUCUGUUGAGACAAAAGUAGUUUGGGUUGAGGAACCUCCUAGUGUAAUCUAGGAUCUCCUUAUCCAAGAUAUUUUGUAAUUUUCCUUAGUUAAUGAUAUCGUCUUUCAUUAAAAAAAAAGUGUUAUCAAACACCAUCUAAUGUUAAAGUUCUACAAUAGGAAAACUAAUAAAAAUGGCUUGAAAACUUUGAGUUUUAACGAUAAGGACAAAAUAAAGGGUAAAGUGAAUAGUACCAGGAUUGACUUUUUAGUGUAAAAAUAUGGUUUUUCGUUAAAGUGAACAGUAACGGGAGCUUUUUCGUUAAGUUCCCUUCUAUAAUUGUGUAUGAUGGUGAUAAACACAUAACAUAUUUCUCUGCACACACACUCUUUUCAUUUUUUUACCAUCAUAUUGAAUAAAUCAAACCAAAAAAAAGACCAAAAUUAAACAGGGGAAUGGUGUGUUUAGCUAAAACGAACACUAAUAAAAAUCGAUUCUACUUGUUCUGUGCAGUAAAAGCAGUUAUACAAUUGUAAACACAUAAAAUUCUUGAAACGAAAGAGACAAGAACAACGUGCAUAAAAUAAUAUUUGUAUUUGAUGAUUUUGGGUUACAAUCUCUCUUAAAUUUGAUCCUCUGAUUCGAUCUCCGUAAGGUGUUGAUUUGUGGAUUGUGAUGCUGAUCCAAGUGCCGUCGAGGCUUGAUCUCGGAUGAAUGGUUGAAAGUUUCUUCAAGGGGGCCUUUUGGGCUUAAUCUUGAAAGGUUAAUGGAUGAACGGAUCUUUAAGGGUUUUUAGGCUUGAUCUUGAAGAACUGUUGAUGAACGGAUCUUCAAGGGGCUUUUGAGGCUUGAUCUUGAUGAACAAUUGAUGGAUGGAUCUUCAAGGGCUUUUGGACUUGAUCUUGAAGAACUGUUGAUAAACGGAUCUUCAAGGGGCUUUGGGGCUUGAUCUUGAUGAACAGUUGAUGAAUGGAUCUUCAAGGGCUUUUGGGCUUUAUCUUGAAGAACGGUUGGAUGUAUGGAUUUGUUGAUGUUGUUAAUCCAAAGGGCCGUUGGGGCUUGAUCUUAGGAUGAACAGAUGAUGAACGAUGAACGUUUUCUUCAAGGGCCGUCGGGGCUUGGUCUUGAAUUGGUGGAAGUUCCUUCAAAUGGCCGUUGGGGCUUGAUCUUGAAGGUUGGGUUGACGAAGAACAAAGAGAGCUUUCUUGAUCCUUCGGGAUUUGCUUGGGAGCUUUGGAGUUUCAAAGCUUCAAGGUUUUGGUGUGAGGUGAAUUGGUUAUCAAUUGGUUAUGAAUUGCCCCCCAAAAUGAAUGUAUUGGCUUCUUAUUUAUAGAAUUUUCCAAGGCCUAAUUUUGAAUAUAUAUGCAGAUGAAAUAAAUUGUUUUUUUUUUUGCCAGGUGUUGACAUGUGACUUUUCCGAUUUAUUUUGAUUUUUCGUUUAGUCACACGCUACGUGUAAAAUUUAUGUGACAUAUGAGCGUUGAAAUUGUAACUAUUGGUCAACAUUUAUUUCACCGAAAUUUCGAUGUCUACAAAUGCCCCCACUUCAAGACGCAUCAUAUACAUGUGCUUGUCACGUGCAGGAGAUGCGUUUUGAAGUCCCUUAAUGUAGAUGUCGAUCCAAGGGCCAUCGAGGCUUGAUCUUGAAUUAGGCUGGAGAUUUCUUCAAUGGCCGUUGAGGCUUGAUCUUGAAUUGGGCUUGAGAUUUCUUCAAAGGCCGUUGAGGCUUGAUCUUGAAUUGGGCUUGAGAUUUCUUCAAGGCCGUUGAGGCUUGAUCUUGAAGGUUGAAAUUAGACCACAAGGAGCUUCAUGUGGUAGAUGAUAUUUGGCUUUGGUAGUGGAUGAAUUGGCACGUAUUUGUUUUUGUGCUUGUUGACUUUCCACAGCUUUGAUCUCGAACUGGUUUGGAAGGUUUCAAAGCAGACUCAUUCUGCUGGGUUGAUUUGAUUAUGUAGUCUGCAUUCUUCUCUGCUUGUUUCUUCUGCACGGCAGGCAGGCACAAGGUAGGGUGAUGGUCUGUUUCUUUUUUUCAAUCUUUCCAAGUGCCCACCAUUUGCUUUCUUUCUCCUUGUCCCUAGCUGAGGAUGAAUUAGCACAUUGUCUCCACAUGCUUCGAGAUAUCAUUUUCACUUCCCUUAUCUGUUCCUUAGGCAGAUGUGGUAGACGAAAAGGAAGCAUAAGAUGUUGAAACAUGAGUACCUCAAAAGCAAGGCUAGGUAAGCAAUCGGGAAGGGGUUCCAGGCAGUCGGUUCCAGAUCGGAAGAUUGAUACCAAGUGCUGGCUGAUUGCUCUCUUUCUCCUUGUCCCACAUAUGAAAACAAUGACAAAAGGAAGGACAGGGAGAAAGCAUGUUAUGAGAUACUCUUGCUUUCAACCAUCAUGAUAUGAAAUACUUUUUCUUUUGAUAAGUUGUUUGCAGAGGUACCCCAAGGAAUAAUGAACACUGAAUGACUCGAGAGGCUUCGUUGGGAAGGCAUUCUCGGAGAUGAAGAAAGGUUAUGUAUGUCUGCCUUGUUAUGGAGGGUGAAGGUCGACUUUUAUAUGAAUUAAUAACCGGUACUAUUCUUUCACUCUUGUCGGCAACCGUUGGAUGAUUGAACAGUAAUUCACUAGAAAUCUUAGACAAAUUGCCCGUGAUUUGCACAAAGCUGAGUGUGCGUGUGACAGAUGCUGACACGUCUGGAAAAGCAGAUGCCUCUUCGAUAUCUGAAAUCGGCGCAUCGACAAACUGCCCGUGAUUUCCGCAAAGCUGAGUGUGCAUGUGACAGAUGUUGACACGUCUGGAAAAGCAGAUGCCUCUCCGAUUUCUGAGCUUGCCUAUUCGAGUUCUGAGUUCCGUCGAGUGCAGAGGUUGCAUGUGACAAGUGCGGACAAGUCUGGAAAGGAAGAUUGGCCCGUGGUUUCUGAGCAAGCCCAGCUUUUGAGAAAGCUAGCAUUUCUUCGAUUUUUGAAUUGGCUUCUUCAAAUUCUGAGCUCGCCUCUUCGAUCUCUGAAAUCCCGUCGAGUGCUGAUUUUUAUAGAGGCACGCAGUUCGUUUCAAAGCACACUUGAAUUUUCACUUGUAGAAACUCCUUUCUUGCACUUAUAAGAUCUUGAUUUGUCCGACCUCUUCUUUCAUCAACACCUUUGAAAAUGUCUGGUCCCUCCGACCGUCGUUUUGACUUGAACCUUGGUAAAGAGGCAGCCAUGCCUUCUCUAGACAACAUAUGGCGUCCAUCAUUCAUAUCCCCUACUGAUCCUCUUACCGUUGGGGAUUCGGUGAUGAAGAAUGAUAUGACCGCUGCGGUGGUGGCCCGGAACCUCGUCACUCCCAAAGAUAACAGACUACUUUCCAAACGGUCUGAUGAGUUGGCUGUUAAGGAUUCUCUGGCUCUCAGUGUGCAGUGUGCAGGUUCUAUGUCUAAUAUGGCCCAACGUCUAUUUGCUCAAACCCGUCAAGUUGAAUCAUUGGCGGCUGAAGUGAUGAGUCUCAAACAGGAGAUUAGAGGGCUCAAGCAUGAGAAUAAACAAUUGCACAAGCUCGCACAUAACUAUGCUACAAACAUGAAGAGGUAAAUUGACCAGAUGCCGGAAUCUGAUGGUCAGAUUUUACUUGAUCAUCAGAGGUUUGUGAGUUUGUUCCAACAGCAUUUGCCUUCGUCUUCUAGGGCUGUACCGCAUAAUGAAGCUCCAAAUGAUCAACCUUCGGUGCCUCCUCCUCCUGGGGUUCUGCCUAGUACUGAGGCUCUGAAUAAUCACCCUCUGGUGCCUCUUCGACCUGGGGCUCUGCCGACUGCUGAGACUUCUCCUAAGCAACCUUUGUGAAGGCUCCCUCUUGUUUGUUUAUUUUGAUUUAUGUAUAUGUACAUAUUUGUAAUUUAUCGGAAAUAUCAAUAAAUGAGCUUUAUUUCAUUUAGUGUCUAUAUAUACAUAUAUAUUUCAUAUGGUGCUGAUCCACCAUUCAUUUAUAUAUAUACAUAUAUAUAUUUCUUUUCUUUUCUUGCACAUGGUGCCAGAUGCACCAUCCAUUAUAUAUACAUACAUACAUACAUAUAUAUAUAUAUAUUUUCUUGCACAUGGUGCCAGAUGUACCAUCCAUUUUUUUUUUAUAUUUUCUUUUCUUUUCUUGCACAUGGUGCCAGAUGCACCAUCCAUUUUUUAUAUUUUCUUUUCUUUUCUUUUCUUUUCUUUUCUUUUCUUUUCUUUUCUUGCACAUGGUGCCAGAUGCACCAUCCAUUUUUUUUAUAUUUUCUUUUCUUUUCUUGCACAUGGUCGUGCUGAUCCACCAAGAUUUUUUUAUAUUUUCUUUUUUUUCACGUGGUGACAGCACCACUUUGCUCCACCAUCCUUUUUUUUUAUUAUUAUAUAUUUUUUCUGUAUAAAUUUGGGUGAUGGGUAGAGGAAUUUGCAGGGAGCGGAGCAAUGAGGCCGAGAAGAUGGUGCUUCGAGCUUCACGACCAGCUAGUCAUUUGAUAGCGGUCGUUGAAGUUCUUUGCUAUCAUGGUGGUCAUAGUGACGAGCUCAAGUGAGGUCAGGCGCUGCGGUGGAAGUAGCAGGAGAUGACGGAGAAAGAGUCCCACUUGAUGGCGUCGUUGGGGGAGAGGUUGAGCUUCUCGGCCGGCUAGUCGUUUGACAGCGGUCUUUGAUGUUAUUGGCAGCUGCGAGGCAAGAGACGGAUGAGGUCUUUGGGUGUGUAUUGAUAAACUUUGGUUUUGUCAAUCUCAUUCAAAGGCGGCAGCCAUGGCAGAGGUGUAAAGGAAGAAGCUCCACCACUACCUUUACUGAGCACAGCCACUGAGCAUAGCCAUUGCACUGCCUGCCGAGCACAGCCAUUACACACCUGUUGCACUGCCACUGAGCACGGCCACUGAGCAUAGCUAUUGACCAUAGGUACAGAGCACAGCCACUGCCCGUUGCACUAUCUGCCAUCGCGGAGGAAGACGAGAGAGAGAGUAUGGAAGUCCUUGGGUAUGAGUUAGCAAACUUUGGUUUUGUCAAUCACAUUCAAAGGCAGCAGUCAUGGCAGAGAGCUGGAGCUUGCGUUGUUGUUGUGGAGACCGAAUCAAUUGUUACUGAGCAUGAGUAGAACCAGGCUGCUGUUGAUUUGAAGUAGUGGGCACGGCUCAAGGUAAAGAGAGGAGGAGGAUGCAAAGCUGGUGGAAAAUAUGUAGUGGGCUGACCUGGAGCGAGGCAUCCUCGCUGGGCAAAAGGAGUGGGAGAGCCAAGUGGUGAUGAAAAGUCCUGCUCGUGACUAGCUGCUAUGACAAUGGCUGCUCUUUGCUCGCUGUUAUGGAGGAAGGUUGAGCUUCGCAUGCUGCAAGGAAUGAGCCUUGGUGCUUGAGCUUGACGUUCUAGAGAAGCGUGGUUGAUUCGAGUUUGAUUUCUGUCGAAGACGUUGUGCACAAUAUGCGCUCUAAACCUAACAGGUUCAAGAUUCCUUACCAAGUUCACACCCCUGCAAGAUUUCAAACCUUUCCCUUUGCGAAAACAGCAAUUUUGCAAUCUGGGUUGCAGCAGAUUUCCGAUUCUGAUGCGUCUUUCACUCUAUCCGAUGGAAUUUUCCUGGAAAAUCUCGUCGAACGGUUCAUGAAUCGAAGAACGGUUUAGGGAACGGCGUGACUGCUUGCGGUGUUGCAGUCGAUGUUGUAGAAGCGUAUGCACUGCCCCGAAAUCUUGCGCUGCUACUGACUGUAAUAUUGAAUGCACUGUUUCCUCGCUGGACUGCAUUUAUCCCGUCCUCGCUGCCCGCAGGAGAGCACGUGAUCCGGUGAAUCAAGGCCAUAGAAUUCGAAAACCAGGUCAACCAAACUCACAACGUCUACCUCGAAUGUUGUUCUUGGUCUUGGGUGAAGUUCACGUUCUUCGCCGUGCUCUAUUGCUUGGUAUUGUCACCUGUAUCAACAUAUGAUCCGUUCUCGUCGAAGUCUGCAACCGCGACUGCUCCAUUUUUUUUUGAGCUACUGUUGUUGGCGUAGCUGCUUCUUCAAUGGAGGAGAGGAAUGCGACAAAGACGGAGAGUAACGGAGGAAAAAGCACAAAGGGGUCUUCGGGGAGCUGGAGCAGCGGGCUCAGACGCAGGAGAUGCAGCGCUGGGCGAGGACACGAAGGCAUAGCUUUCACACACGAAGCAACAGCGGCCUCUGACGACUUCGGAGCUGAUUGUCCAGGAGCUCCAGGACAAGACCGAUGUGGACAAUGAGAUGGUUGAUUCCGAGCCCUCUGCUUUCUCUGCCGUUGAUGUUGACUAGCACCGAAACCAGGCAGGAGCAGAACCCAUGAGAUCGCCUCGCAGAUGACGGCGGUGCAGAAGAAAAUGUUGCGAGUGUAGUGUGUUGUGAGGUUGGAUCUCGGUGUGGCCCGUGAGGAAGUGAGAGAAUGGAAAGUCUUGGACCGGCCCACUUUAAUAUAUAUCUUUUUUGUUUUUUUUUUUUGUUUUUACAAAGAAAUAAUGUUGUCUUUGUAAUGAAAUUGACUUUUAUUAGUCAAGUCUUUAAUAAAACUUUAUUUUUUUUUAUUUUGAUGUGACUGAACUCGAAAUUGAAUAUUCAAGCUGCCUACGUACCCUUUCAAAGAAGAGAUCAAGUCAUAGCGUAGUUUAAAUACUUUUUUUUCUUGGUAUUUUCUUUUGGUGCCGUUUGUAGUUUCAAUUCGUGCAGGCAAGGAACAUUGAUAUUGUCUUUUAUGCUCGUGCAGAUCAGGAGCUUAGUGCCAUGCAGUUUAGGCUCGUGCAGGCGAGGAGCCUCGUGUCCUACAAUUUAGGCUCGUGCGGACAAUGAGCUUUGGUUCGUGCAGUUUAGGCUCCUACGAACAAGGAGUAGGAGUUGUCGCCUUAUAGGGGUAGUAGCGCUUCAAGAAUCUGCCAUUGAUAGGGCCGAUCUUCAAGCCAUCUUCCGCCAUGAUUAAGUAGGCGUCAUUGGUGUAGACUUCUUGUAUUACGUGUAGUCCAUCCCAUAUUGACGUGAACUUGCUCUUUGUCUUGUGAAUUGUGAUGAUAGGCCUACGCAAUGAAAGGACGAGAUCUCCCAUUUGAAAAGAACGAGGGAUAACUUUCUUGUUGAAGGCCUUGGAAAGUCGUGCUUGAUAACACUCCAAGUGUUGCUGGGCUUCGAGUCUUUUCUCAUCCAGCGCUUCCAGCUCUUGAAGGCGCAACUUUGCAUUCUCUUCGUCAGUCAAGCCUUCUUGUAUAGCCAUCCUUAGCGAGGGGAUUUGACUUUCGAGCGAUAGAACAGCUUCCACGCCAUAUACGAGAGAAUAAGGUGUAGCUUGGGUAGGCGUUCUAUAUGUCGUCCUGUAUGCCCAAAGUGCUUCGCCUAUUCUUUCAUGCCAGUCUUUCUUUGUUCUGCCGAUUACCUUCUUCAGGAGGUUGCACAAUGUCUUGUUGAAUGCUUCUGCAAGAUCAUUGGCCGAAGCAUAAUACAUGGAGGAUUUGUGCUACUUGAACUUGUAUUUCUCGCAGAGCUCGUCCACGAGUCGGUUGGAGAACUGUUUUCCGUUGUCAGUGACAAUGUAACGAGGCACACCAUAUCGGUGGAUGAUAUGUUCCUUGAUGAAACAGACGACAGUUUCCUUCUUGACUUCCUUCAGGGGUAUAGCUUCAGCCCAUUUGGAGAAGUAAUCUGUUGCAGCCAGGAUGUAACCUUCUCUUGCAGAUGACUUUGGCGCAAUUGGUCCUACGACGUCCAAUCCCCAUGCAUUGAAUGGCCAUGAAGCAACUGUAUGAUAUAAUGGCUCAGGUGGUUGAUGUAUGAAGUUGGCGUGGAAUUGGCAGGCUUGGCACCUUUUGGCAUGUUCCAGGCAGUCAUUCACCAUGCUUGGCCAGUAAUAACCCAUUCUCUUGAGCUGGAAAUGUAGCUUUGGUCCAGAUUGAUACGCCCCGCAUACGCCUGAGUAUGCUUCUUCCAUAGCUUGAUUGGUUUCUUCCUCACCUAGGCAUCUCAGAAGUAUGCCUUCGAAAGAGCGCCGAUAGAGUGUUUCUUUGUAGUAGAGGAAGCGAGGUGCUCGUCGACGUAUUUCGGAGCGGUGUUUAGGAUCAUCUGGAAGUUUUCCAUGCUCUAAGUAGUCGAUCAGUGGUUGCCUCCACUCUUCAACAUCGAUUAAAAGUACUGAGAUGACAUUUGUAUCAUCCAGUAGCAUUUCAGUGACAAGGGGGAUCACCCAUCUUUGGCAGACUGGCACGUCUGCGGCUUCGUCUUCUCCUAAUGUCAUGCUUGAGGCUAGGUUGGCAAGAGCGUUUGCCAUUUGAUUUUCUUUUCUUGGCACAUGUUCUAGAGUUACAGCCUCAAACCUUCGUAGCAAUUGAGUUGCCAGUCGAAAGUAUGGGACAAGAUCAUCUUUCCUCACCUUAUAUUCAGUCAAGAGUUGAUUGAUUAUGAGCUUGGAGUCGCCAUAUACCUCGAGGGCUAUGAUUUCCAUGUUGAUCGCCAUUUGGAGCCCAAUGAUCAGUGCUUGGUACUCAGCGACGUUGUUGGAGCAUAAUUCACUUAGUUGGAAGGAAUAAGGUAUUUGCCUUUGUGGCGACAUGAAUACCACUACUGCCCCCGCUCCAUCCGCUCGUGCAGAUCCGUCGAAGAACAUCGUCCAUGUUAGGAAGAUGUCGAUGUAGAACACAUCCUCAUCGGGCAAGUUGUCUGAGAUUUUCCAAUCAGCUGGGAUUGGGUGAUCGACAAGAAAAUCUGCUAGCGCUUGCCCCUUGACGACUUUAGCUGAGACGUAUAUGAUCUUAUAUUGAUUGAGAAGUAAUGCCCAUUUAGCGAGUCACCCUAUCAAGACUGGUUUGGACAUGACGUAUUUGACCGGGUUAGCUUUAGCAACCAAGUGGAUAGUGUAAGCAUGCAUGUAAUGCCUGAACUUCUGGAUGGCGAACACCAAGGCAAGGCACAUCUUUUCUAUUGGGGAGUAGUUCAACUCGACGCCGGUGAGAGUUCGGCUGAGGUAAUAGAGUGCUUCUUCUUUCUGGGAUUCAUUCUCUUGCGCCAAAAGUGCUCCAACUGAACUUUCCUGAGCGGCGAUGUACAAUAUGAGUGGUUUCCCAGGCACAGGAGCCCCCAAAACAAGUGGACUUGACAAAUACUUUUUUAUGCUUUCAAAAGCAUUGUGGCAAGCUUCGUCCCAUACAAACGGAGCAUCAUUCUUCAUGAGUCGGCUGAACGGUUGACAACGCCCUGCCAGGUUGGAGAUGAAGCGUCUAAUGAAGGCUAGUCGUCCUUGUAGACUUUUUAGCUCGUGCAGGUUUCUUGGCUCAGGCAUGCUUUGAAUGGCCUUGAUUUUUUAUUGGUCCACUUCAAUACCACGGUACUUGACAAUGAAGCCAAGGAACUUUCCGGAGGUGAUGCCAAACACACAUUUUAACGGGUUCAUUUUGAGGUUGUAUUUUCGCAGCCUUUCGAACACCAUUCGCAAAUCCUUCAAGUGGUCUGAUCUUUUCUUUGCUUGACCACCACAUCGUCUAUGUAACAUUCUACAUUUUUUUGUAGCAUGUCAUUGAAGAUUUUCUGCAUUGCACGUUGAUAUGUAGCUCCAGCAUUCUUCAGACCAAAGGGCAUCACCUUGUAGCAGUAGAUACCUUUUGGAAUGCGGAAGGCUGUUAGUUCCUCGUCUUCGAGAGCCAUGCGAAUUUGAUUAUAUCCAGAAGAGUCGUCCAUGAAUGACAGUGCCUCGUGGCCAGUGGUUGUAUCCACCAUGAUUUCGAUGAUUGGCAAGGGGAAGUCGUCAUUCGGGCAAGUGUCGUUGAGGUCCCGGAAGUCUACGCAAACACGUAUUUGUCCAGAUUUCUUAAAGACGAUGACAAUGUUGGAGAUCCACUUGGGGUAUUGCACCUCUCGAAUGAAGCGUGCUUCGAUUAGCUUGUCAAUCUCUGCCUCGAUUUAUGGAAUGAGCUCAGAUCGAUAGCGUCUUUGAGUUUGCUUUAUCGAUCGCGUUCCAAGCUUGACUGCAAGAUGAUGCACAGCGAUGACAGGGUCAAGGCCAGGCAUUUCUUUGUAGGUCCAAGCAAAGACGUCUUUGUAUUCUGAUAACAGUUGGUAAUACUCCUCUAUCUCGUCCGCACUUAGUAGCCCACUUCCGAAGAUAGGUUUCUGCUCCUCUUUUGUGCCUAAGUUGAGCUCCUUGAGAUCAUCAACCGUGGAUUGCCCCUCAUCCUCAGGUUGCGGUGGCGCAGCAGUGACAUCUUCUUCGGGGAUUUCGUCUUCUUUGUCUUCUUGGAUCGUGACAUGGAAGACGUCUUGAACCUCCCCUUCAGUGCCGUCCUCUUGGGAUUGUUGGCAUGAAGAUUGUCCAGUGUGGAUGAUGGUACGCCUUCUUACUUUCAAUGGUCCAUUUGUAUCAACCUCCAAAAUUGCUUGGCGCUUCAUCCUUGAAGGAAUUGAGCUUCGAAUAUUGCUUUUUUCUGCUAGCCUGUCGAGCUUUUCUUCUUUUGACAUUGUCUCCCUAUUUCUAGAAAGCUUCUUGCUGUCUUCAAGUCUUUCCAAAGCUGACCGAUGAGGAGGAGAGUUAGAUGUGUUGCUUUGCUUCUUAGGUUUUGACAACCUUUCAAAAACAGAGCUUUGGGAUGUUAAGCCUCUUGAAGAUAGAGGUUCGGUUUUGACCAUCAAUGAGAUUAAGUGUUGACGUUCUGGGCUUUGAGCGAUUCAUCCUAUUGAAGACUGACAUUCGAGGGGCGGAUUUAGGCUUUUCUUGAUCUUGUUCAGCGCUCACGCUGAUGUGUUGAGUGCUAGCAUUUUUAGCUUUGCUUGAAAUCUUCACGGGUGAAUUUGGUGUGAAGCCAAGUCCAGCUUUGUUGUUGUCAACUUCAUAACCAUGCUCCUUCAACUUCUUUUGAGUCUCAGUGAGGUCACGUUCUUUGUCGUUGAGGGUGUUUGAAACCUUCUUUCCAGGAUUCGAAGAAGGAACGAAGUCGUACCCAGCUUUCAACAUAAGUUUGUUGGUGUUUGGAUCAAAACCUUCUUCGGUCCUCUUGGUUGGGAGAAAGCUUGGUUCCACCCCCUUUGGUAGAGCUUUUAUGAAGCCUUGUGGUAGUCUUACAGCCUUAGCGUUGCCUAGCUGUGUCAGAGGUAAAACUGCAUUCGUCUUGAGCAACUUUACAUUAUUCCUAUGUCGCUGUGUAUCGGCUUUACUUGCUCCAGUUUCGAACGGAGAUUGACCAUUCUUUCUUCUCGACAUCGGGAUGUAUCGGAAAACGGGUGUGUUUGGUCCAUUUGAGGGCAUCCUACUCUCUUUGGUUGUUGUAGGUUUAGCAAGCUCAUCAUCGUUCUUGCUUGAAGAUGGCAUAGCUUCUCCUUCUUGCUUCUUGGGCAUGGCUUGCCACUCCUGCUUUUUAGGUGUUGCUUUGCCCAUGAAUUUAAUCUCUUUUGUAAGAGCUUCAGGCACCAUGUCUUCAUUCAUGUAGAACUUGGCGUCUGCAAAAUGUGAUUCAGCUUUGGUGAAUGGUUUGGUGUCACCAUAUAUCACCUUCACUCAUUCUCGAUAGAAUUUUAAACAUUGGUGAAGGGUGGACGGUACUACUCCAUUCGCAUGGAUCCAAGGCAUUCCUAAGAGCAAGUUGUAGGAAGUUCUUGCAUCAAUCAAGUGGAAUAUCGUGCUCGUCUUGAGUUCACCAAUAGUCAUCUCCACUCGGAUCAUGCCUAUCGCUCUUUAUCCCUCUUGGUUAAAACUUUGGAUUAGUAGACGGCUUAGGGAUAGUUCAUCCACCUUGAUGCUGAUUGUGGUCAUUGUUGACUUUGGCAUGAUGUUUAUGGCUGAUCCACCGUCCACGAGCAUGCGGUUGACUUUGUGCUCCCUUACGUAUCCUGAGACAAAGAGAUGAUGGUUAUGAGGCUUUGACCCCAGCAGUAAGUCUUCAUCCGUGAAGCUGAUCGCGUCCUGGGCGGCAAAGCACGCAACACCUUCAUAUGGCCAAAGCUUUGAGCCUGCGUUCUUGCUUUCUUACACUUCGUGGUCGUUGGGACUUGCCAAGACCGCUGCCAGUGCUCUUCGCAUCUUCUUUGGCAACCGUAGCGCUUCCUCGAUGCUAAAGUGUGUUGGCAUACCUUCUUCAGAUGUAAGAGUCUUUUCUCCCUCAGUGGCGACAACUUUGCCUUUUGAAGGUUCUUCCAUUUCUACUUCGACCAUGUGACAUGCAGCGAUAGUGUACUGUUGGAAGAAGUCCUCCGGGAAGUACUCAUGCAAGGAGACAGAAAUGCGUGGCUUUUGCUCCAUAGGUUCCCCAGCAUAUAUUGGCUUAGCAGCUCUUAUGUUUCUUUUAGGCUUCAUAUUGCUUCGGCGGCGGUGUUUUCUCCCUUAUUCCCCAUUUGGCUUUAUAGCUUGCGGUCUCGGUUUCCUCAUCCUCUUAUAGGUCACCAAUGUCCAUCCUUUGUCAUCGUCAGUAGGUGCAUCUUGGUUGCUUGCCCCCAGUAACAGUGGUGCAGAAGGUGCAGUGUGGUUUGAGUAUUACCGAGCAUGGUCAGGCAUUUCUUGAAGAGGCACGGGAUCAAAGGAUCCGAACACGACCGUAGUGGUGUGUGUUCUAGCUGUGUCUUCUAGGUCAAGAUCAAUCCACCCUUGUUGUGCCAACUUCAUGAUGAGUUCUUUUAGGAUGAAACACUUGCCCACAUGAUGACCCACGAUACGAUGGUACUUACAGUACUUGGGAUCAUUGAUGCGAUUCAUCUCUUCGGGGCGUUUGCAUUCAGGCAACUCAAUCACCUUCUUCUCCAGCAGGUCGUCCAGCAUUGCAUCCACGUCGGAGUCCGAAAAAAGGGUAUACCUUCUGCUCAAGUUCCCUCAAGGUGUUUUUGUACCUAUCUUGGGUGUGGGAAGGCUCACUUCUUUUUAUCUCCUUUGCUUUGUUAUUGAAUGAGAUUUUGACGGGUGCGGACGAGGUCUUGAUAGGGGUGGUAUUGGUGGUAAAAGCGUCCUUGUCGGGCUUUUUCCCAUGAUUGUCUGCUCUUGAAGUAAACACCUUAUCCCUUUUGAAAUAGGUGAUUGGCUCCUUCUUUCCAUGAUGGGCGAUGCUCAGUUCCAUGUCGUGGGCACGGGUGGCUAAUUCUUCAAAAAUCUGUGGUUUGAUACCUUGAAGGAUGUAUUGUAAACCCCAUUGCAUGCCCUGGAUGCACAUCUCGAUUGAAGAAAUCUCGGAGAGCCUGUCCUUACAGUCAAGGCUUAGAUUACACCAUCGGUUGAUGUAGUCUAUGACUGGUUCUUCCCUCAAAUGCUUCGUGCUCGUCAACUCUAGCAUACUCACAGUGCGGCGGGUACUGUAGAAGCAGUUAAGGAAUUCCCUUUCCAACUGUUCCUAGCUGUUGAUGGACUCGGGCUCCAGGUCCGUGUACCACUCAAAGGCGUUUCCUUUUAACGAGCGCACAAACUGCUUGGCGAGGUAAUCUCCUUUCGUCCCUGCAUUGUUGCAGGUUUCGACGAAAUGUGUGACAUGUUGCUUAGGGUUUCCUUUUCCGUCAAAUUGCAUAAACUUCGGCGGUUGAUAACCCUUCGGCAUCCUUAAGGCGUCGAUCUUCCUGGAGUAAGGCUUUGAGUACAACGUGGAGGCAUGUGAGCUCCCUUUGUACUGCGCCUUGACGGUGCUGGCGAUCAUCUCCUGCAACUGCUUUAUGGAGAGAGAUCUCAUGAGCACUGUUGUUUGGUCUAGCUUCAGCUUUUCUUCAGCUUUCUCCACUAUAGGCUCAUCUUCUUCGUCGUAUUCCUUCUUCAGAUGAUCAAUCUUCGGGUUGGGUUUCUCGCCGUCAUGCGCCUCCAGUCGGUUGACGAGUGCUGCAAUUUAUAAGUCUUUUUCUUCCACAGUUUGGGUUAGCCUUGCAAUUUCUUCAUUCAUCUAAGCCAACUGCUCAUCGAUUGAAGUUACUCCAGUGGUCAUGACUUGCGUGGCUGAACUGCCGCUUGAAUCGACAUCGGAGAGCAUGGAUCCGGAGUAUUUCUUUGGGCUUUCCCCCUUUGGUGCCCUUAGUGAGGCUAAGGUGAUCACAGGCUCAUGCCUUGGGUGCUCUUGUUCUUUUGGCAUGGUUGAUGCAAGGGUGGAAGGAGGCAGAAAUAGCUCUUGCCUUGCUUCGAGUUAUGAUGCCCGAAAUGACACUGCCUGCGACGAGGAUGCUCUUGUUCUUCGCAUUGGUUGUGGGAACAGCUUGAGCCUUCCUUGAUGCCAUGUGUGUUUCUUGUGGAUUUGAAGAUAGAGAUGAGAGGCAGAGAAGGUCCCACUGGGCGUGCCAAAUUUGUAAACACGGAAAAUUCUUGAAACGAAAGAGACAAGAACAACGUGCACAAAAUAAUAUUUGUAUUUGAUGAUUUUGGGUUACAAUCUCUCUCAAAUUUGAUCCUCUAAUUCGAUCUCCAUAAGGUGUUGAUUUGUGGAUUGUGAUGCUGAUCCAAGUACCGUCGAGGCUUGAUCUCGGAUGAAUGGUUGGAAGUUUCUUCAAUGGGGCCUUUUGGGCUUGAUCUUGAAAGGUUGAUGGAUGAACGGAUCUUCAAGGGCUUUUGGGCUUGAUCUUGAAGAAUUGUUGAUGAACGGAUCUUCAAGGGGCUUUUGAGGCUUGAUCUUGAUGAACAGUUGGUGGAUGGAUCUUCAAGGGCUUUUGGGCUUGAUCUUGAAGAACUGUUGAUGAACGGAUCUUCAAGGGGCUUUGGGGCUUGAUCUUGAUGAACAGUUAAUGAAUGGAUCUUCAAGGGCUUUUGGGCUUUAUCUUGAAGAACGGUUGGAUGUGUGGAUUUGUUGAUGUUGUUGAUCCAAAGGGUCGUUGGGGCUUGAUCUUAGGAUGAACGGAUGAUGAACAAUGAACGCUUUCUUCAAGGGCCAUCGGGGCUUGAUCUUGAAUUGGUGGAAGUUCCUUCAAAGGGCCGUUGGGGCUUGAUCUUGAAGGUUGGGUUGACGAAUAACGAAGAGAGCUUUCUAAUCCUUCGGGAUUUGCUUUGGAGCUUUGGAGUUUCAAAGCUUCAAGGUUUUGGUGUGAGGUGAAUUGGUUAUCAAUUGGUUAUGAAUUGGUUAUGAAUUGCCCCCCAAAAUGAAUGCAUUGGCUUCCUAUUUAUAGAAUUUUCCAAGGCCUAAUUUUGAAUAUAAUAUGCAGAUGAAAUAAAUCAUUUUUUUUUUUUUGCCAGGUGUUGACAUGUGACUUUUCCGAUUUAUUUUGAUUUUUCGUUUAGUCACACGAUACGUGUAAAAUUUAUGUGACACAUGAGCGUUGAAAUUGUAACUAUUGGUCAACAUUUAUUUCACCGAAAUUUCGAUGUCUACAACAAUAUUUGAUAUUUCUUUUGGUUCUUGUUCCUCAAACAUCGAAAUAAUCUAAGCCAAUUGUUUUGGUGAGGAACUAAACAAAGUCAUGGGAUGGAAUCAUUUUUUCUUCUCUUUUCUAAAAUUUAAAUUCUAACUUUUUACGAUUAAACUUCCUCCUCCGCUUCUUGGAUUUGGAUUCCAACAUGGCAUCAUCAUGCACCGGAGAUUUCUGUCUCUUCUUAGAUUCGCACUUGGCCGGCACCGGAGAAUCCUCCUCUGUGCACAUCAUGCACGCGGUGGCAGAAGAGUCAUUGACAUAGGUGCAGCGAUCGCAAGGCCAACAACCCACACUUACCUCCGGAAAAUUAUUCUCUGAAUAAUCCACUACCUCCGAAAAGUCAUUCUUCAUCCCUCUCACAAAGAGGUAAUUCUUCAUCCCUCUCACAAAGUUUCUGAAGUAGUUUCCAAUCGCAAUCAGCUGUGUCAACUUUCCUCGAAAUUCAAAGAACUCUUCAAUAGAUCGAUCAACAUUGAUAAUCUUCUCUUCCAGUUCCACUUCUGCACAAUGACAUAGCUUUUCCAAGUCACUCUUCACCUCGCCUAGCAAGUACUCAAACAACUGCCUCUUAACACACUCAUGCUUGGGUAUAAAGUAACCAUACACAUAGAUCCACUGCAGCACCGGUCUGCAUUCGAUAAUCUCUUGCCGGGCCUCCACAACAAAAUCAAGAACAGGAUUCGUUUGUAUGUAUUUCACACUGAGCUUCUUCAAAUGAACAUCUUGCACAAGGUGAUGAAAAUCUUCAACAACUAUUUUCUUGUACAUGCGAUUAUAUACCCAAACGUUCAUAAUUACGAACAAAUCUGUUAUAAGACAUCUUCGACAUCUCCAAAGAUAUGUUUACCAUUUCUUUCUUUCUCCUCCUAUGCUCACUCUCCACCCCCUCCAGGAAACCAUUACCAAAAUAAUUAAGACCAUGCCAGUUCCACCAUUCGAGGCAUGUCCAGCAAAAUUCGAAUCCACAAGGAGCGCUGCAUGUCAUAUGGUUACAUCCUUGGUUUGCAUUUUCGAUAUUUCGCUUGCACUUUGGACAAGGCUUAAUGUUUGCAAGAAUCGAAUCUACAUUCAGAAUUCAAUCUACACCUUCAGAAUCAUCCUCGUUCUUCAGCAUCAUCCACUUUGCACUGUAUCGCAGUUCACCGGACUGUGACCUUCCUCGUGACAAUUUGAACAAAAUCUGUAAGAGCAUAGGCAAGAAACAUCACUAGUUCCGUAGCCACCAAUAAAGUCUACAGCAUAGUCACCAACCAUGAGAAGGCACCACUUUCUCUUCCCCUUACUAUCUUCCACAUAAGACCUCAAAAGGUACUGAGAAUACUUGGCCUUAUCGGGUCAUUAUUGGCUUUGGUUGCCAACACAGGGAGAAUCAAAUCUUCACCAACAGCAGCGCUACAGCCCGGAUGAGGACAUUUUAGAGACAAACAUCCAACACAAUCAUUGCUAAUCGAUUCUCUUACAUAAGCUGCCCAACAUGCAAUACAAUAAAAAUGGCCACAUAAAUCGGAUCUAAUACUAUGAUCACCGCUAGCAUCACAAGUCUCGAAGCAAAUUUCGCAAGUAAACGAACCAACACUUCGAUCAACAAGUGGGACUUUCCUAAACAAUCCCAGUUUGUUCCGAACAUCGUCUUCCUCCUCAAACCACUUGUCAAAUAACAUGCUAACAUUCCAAUUGCAGUGGCGGAGUAAGAUAAUUGCCGAGGAUCUCGAUACGUGCAGUUUCGAGCACACCUCUGUCAUAUAUUGUAAUUGGCGUUAUCUGCCUCUUUCAAAACCGUAUAUCGAAGCUUUGGCUGCAACAAUGUCUAUUGAUAUUCUCCCAUAAAUCCGUUCAAGUAUUCAGCAAACUUAAUGUUGUCAUAAUCGGGUUGCGCAAACCAUCCAUCUAGACUUCUCGAUGGGUGGAGAUAGCACGAAGAACUCGAAGAGCAACACGAAUCCAUGAAAAAAAAUAACCAACGAAAUCGGUAUUUGUGAGAGCUCUCGAGUUGCGAUUGAUAUCGAGAGAAGUGUGCGAUAAGAUUGGUAAGGGUUCAGCCUUUAUAAAUAUAGGAAUUGAAUCCCUAGGCAACUAGGAAAAGCGAACCAAAUUCCUUGCGUGAAAAGGAACAGAAACCCUAAAAUUUUCGUAAAUUAGGAGCAAACCCAAAUCGUCUGAGGCGUAAAACGCACCGUUCCAAUAAAACAUUGCUACCUUAAUUAGGAAUUUAGGGCUUAGAGCCAAAUUAUAACACGAUAUAUAUAUAUAUAUAUAUAUUAUAACACACGUUACUAUCUGCACUAAGGGGGAGAUGUGUACUUAGCCUCACAAUGGGCUAACGAUGAUGUGGUUCAAAUUCGUAUUUAGUGAGAAUCUCUCACUUACAAGUUUAGAGAGACGUGUUAUUGGUUUAUUUUAUAAAGGAAUAAAACUUAUCCAUCUAGCAAAUGAUGUUAUGAUUUAUUUUUUAAUUGUUUUUGCAUUUACAAUUGAGGUAUCUAUCAUACAAUUCUUUUUCACUCUUUCAUCUCAUUCUUCGUAUUUUUCCCUCUCUUCCCUUCUUCUUUCUAAUUUUCUUUCAUACUUCUUCUCUAUCUCUCGCAUACUUCUUGUUCUUUGCAUUUCUCUCUCCUCCUCUUCUUUUUCACAUUGUUCUCUAGAUUUAUGACAUAAAUCUAGAUUUACCAUCACUGUAGUGUCCUCUGGUAACAAUAUAACGUCAUAUAAACAAAAACUCUUGUCGUUGUAUUCUUGAUAGAAAAUGAUUUAGUUGUGUUGUGAAUAUAGUCUUAAUGUUACAUAUAUGAAUGUAUGAAGAAGCAAACCAAAAUGGACUUUGGUGACAAUAAUUAAAAAAUUUAGGUCAAAUAGUAAACUUGGAUGAUGACAUUUUUAUCAUGCAAUUUUUUCCCAUGGGUGUAAGACUUUCCCAUAUAAAGGGACGGUUGUAAUGUAAAAAUUAUCCCAUCUUUCUACCUACCUAUCUUAAGCAAACAAUUUUUUUUUUGUCAAAUAAUAGAUUUUGUUUGAUUACAUGUUAGAUUAGUCACCGACGGAGUUUGAGCCCACGCCGUCAUAUAAGGACUCUCAACAUCUUUCCACUACUGUGGUAAAUGACCACUUGCUCUUAGCAAACAAUUUAUGCUAACCUUUAUUUUUCCCGUCACACAAGAUCAAAAGUAGAAAGUGAAUACCAAUCUCCCUCGUCAUUGUACUUGCACUUAUUGUCUGAUAUAGUUACGAAAAUAAACAGUUUGAUACAUUGCUCUCGUUCUACUUCAAUUUCUAAUAAAAAUUCUCUUUCUAACUUUUGUCUAUUUAUCUAUAUUCAUGCUACGCAAAUCAUUUACACAUUUUUUUUUUUUUUUUGGAAACUACACAUAAUUUGUUUGAAGUACUGUCAAUGUAGUAACUCAAGAUACCACCACCGACGCAUCAUUCCAAAUUUCCAGGUACAAAGUAGGUUAUGUCCUCUCCAGGUCCACCCCCAAAACCGUAACUCUCACGCACUCGAUAAAAACUUGUACAUUCCAACCAUAUUCAGAUCUCCGCCUUUUCUUCUCUCUCUCCUCCUUCUUCUCUCCCUAACAAGUCAGAAUAAAAUUAAUAAACUGAUAAUAAAAAAUCCGGCCACCAAGAUUCCAGUUCAUGCGAGUUUGCCAUCGAUUGCACUCCAUUCCCAAGAAAUCCAGAAAAUGUAAAAACAAAAAUGAUUAUUAUUUAAUUUAUUUAUUUAUUUAUCCAGUCAGCAUAUAAAUACUAAAUAUAUUUAUAAUAUUAUACUCUCAAGCAUAUGGAUCUUCUCCGGAUUCCUUCCAUCAAAUCCACCAAUUCACUAAUUCGGAUCUUUGAAAUUUGAUCUAAUGGUUAAAAACAUGGAAUCUUUUUAAAAGUUAUAAUAAAUUGAGUCGUUAGAUUAAAUUUUAACGGUUCGGCUUGGUUGAUUGAGUGGAAGGGAUACGGAGUGAGGAUCCCUUUCCGCGAGUGCAUACUCCUAGUAUCCUCUGACUCUGUCAUUUACGCAAACACUUGGGGGGCCAGAUCUCUCAUCGAAUUCCUGCCACCGGAAGCUUCUCUUCUCCGUCGCUGAAAUGCUUAGCAUAUGGCAUUUCUGGAAAUUAUUUGAUUUCUAGAUCAGAAGAUGGCGUGGUUCGAGUUUGGGAUGCUAGAACUCAUAAUAUUCUUCGCCGGGUUUAUGCAUAUUUGAUGGUAUUGAAGCAAAUUUAGCUCUAUUUGACUAGCACUAUUUCAUAAUCCAGUUUAUAUUCAAAUAUCUCAGUUGUUUAUGUUCAAUCUGCCAAACUUUACUACUUUGUUUAGUAUUUACAUAAAAAUUGCAUUGUACUCUGCAGGUCCAGUGAAUAAUAUUCUAGUCGUUGGACAGCAUUUUUCUGAGAAAUAUUGUUCUGACUUCAACUGAAGACUUCAAACAAGUCUGGAUCACUUUGCAAUAUACUACACACACAAAAUUAAUGUGCCUAUGUCCAGAUGAUCUUCAUUUAGCCCGCAAGUAAUGGAAAAGACCAUUCCGGUGAAAUCUGUAAUGCAACAGCCAACCUCUGGUUCUAGUAAUGCAUGCAGCUUUCUCUUCCUUUUUCAUCUCACUUCCUCUAAAAAGAAAAUGUGUGAGCCUUGCUUUCAUUAGCAGCACUCGCAACAGUCAGGCGGGUAGGAUUAACAAAAAAAAGAAGACUUCAAAAUUUCUACGAAACAUGCAUGCAUAAACUAAACACCCCAAUUAAUUUUGAGUUUACCUGUUUCUGUUUUUGCACUCUUCAUUUUUGAUGAUUUUUGCAGCCGGCCAAAGUGAGCUGCAAUGUAGUGGUUUCAGUUUAUUUCACGCAACAUUGUUUGUAAACCCUGUAACUGCUAGCAGCUAAAUCAGACAACUUGAGGGUCUUGGUGAAUCCAGUUUUCUGAGGUCUGCCGCCCUCCCAAAAGCUUGCUCGUGAAACUUUUUGCAAAAUUCUGUGACUAUAAACUGUUACUUUCUUGCAAAUAUGUUUUUGGAAUGAAAUAAAACUAGAGCAUUGCAAAUCAUGAUAUUGGGAGAGGGGGAAAUGAACUCGGGACCUGGAAUAUGGUCAUCUGCAAUUGUUUAGUUGGAAUGUUGUAAUUUGUUAAGUAUAAUAAAAGCUCAACCCCAUAAAUUGUUUAGUUGGAAUAUUGUAAUUUGCCAAGUAAAAUGAAUAGAGUGAGUUGGUAAAUAAAUAGAAAAGAGCUUAAUUACCAGAAGUGGAAGGCCUCUCAAUUAUCAUGCAACAGUACUGGUUUGAUACUGAGGUGGUUUUAUAAAAAGUGGGUAUAAAAAAAAGCUGAGCUCAAAAAAAUGUUUGGUAAACACUUAAAAACAGCUUAUUUUCACAGUUUUGAGUAAAAAAAAAACUGAAAACAUGAAGCAGCAAAAAUGAGUUUAUUCUCAUAGAACAACAUAAGCAGUUUUUUUUCAAAGCACAGCAAUAUCAAACCAGCCUUAAACAACAUCCUCAGCUUCGACUAUGCCUUCACCCUCUCACCAGAAGUGGAAGGCCUUUCGGGUAUCUCAACAGCAUCUUCUGCCUCGACUAUGCCUUCACCAUCAUUAUCAAAAUCAGAAUCAAGUGGAGGUCUGAUUUUGAUGUUGGGGAUGUGAGAAAUCUUGGGCCACUCCUUUCCUCUGCCUUUUUGGCAACCUCGUACAAGACUACCACAGUGUAUGAUGACAAGUGUCUGAAGUGGUGGUUUCCGCAAUAAGUCUGGCAGUGUUUUUAGCUGACGGUUGUACCCUAUCUGUAAAGAAGAAAGGCAGGGCAUUAUGGUAAUAUGAGAAUCCUCUUCCUUCCACUCUUCCACUCCUUUCCACUCUUCCCACGCCCUCAUGUUCCUAACAUAGAGUACUUUCAAUUUUGGGAGUAGAAUGCAUGAUGAUGCUGAUGACGUUUCCUUUUCUAUUCCCAGAAACUCAACUCCAACCUUUUUUACUCCAUUCAUAUGAAUAAGCGUCAGUUUUUCGAGGGACGGUAAUUUUCCCAAAGGAGGUAAAACUUCACAUUCAUUCCACCACACAAGAUCAAGAACUCUCAAAUUGUUUAAUGACAUGAUCCAGUUGGGGGCAGUGCUUCCAUUAU